CUUUAUAGAUAAAGGUAACUUAGAUUGGCAGGGUGUAGUAAGAAGUGUGCUUUUUACAAACAUGAGGGAUUUGUCCAAUAUUUGUUCUUUGACUAUUAGUUCACGCAUUUUGCGUUGCGUGUGGUCAGAUCCGGCAUUCUCCAUCAGAGAGCACUACUCAUAUUUUUGCAAUUAGCUCAUACCGGUGGCAUCUCCAUCAGAGAGCACUACUCAUAUUUUUGGUAAUUAGCUCAUACGGGACCUAAAAGAUUUAGGGAAAACUUAUUAAUUGGAGCGGACGAGUGGCCACAUGUUGGGCAGUCAAGGUGUGGAGCCUCGCUGCGAACCUGGGUGCGACUACUGCGGCAAGAGGGCAGGGGAAUGGCCCUCUCAGCGCAUACAAGGUUGGACAUAGCCAUACGACUGCUUUUCAUGAGCUAUGGUUGGCAGUUUAGUUUGUUAGAGUUAUCUUCGUGAUGCCUUUUGGCUUUUGUAUUCUAGUCUCUUGGCAUCCUCUUGUAGCCUUUUGGCAUCCUCAUGUAUGUGUAUAUAUCUGGCUUUGUCCUCAUAAUAAUAUACGUUACUAUUCCUCUAACAUCAACAUGGUAUCAUGAGCCUAGGUUAGGGAUCUUUUUUGUGGGUGCCUCAACACGCCCAGACGAUCGGCUGUGCUGCUCCAUGCCGCUGCUGCUUCCCCGCCCUCGUGAACAGUCCAUCUGCUGCCGCUACUCCCACCCACCCCUCUGGAUCGAGCCGAUACUCGACUUGCUUCCCGUCGCUGGCCGCCUCUGUCAUUCGCCGUAGGACCAUCUUCAAUCACUGGUUCCCGCCGUCGGCCGCCUUCAGAUCGGGGACGCCUGGUUGUUGUUUGUGCGUCUCGCACUUUAGAUCGAGCCACCGAGGCGUGAGCCAGGCGCCAUCGAGGCCUGCGACCAACCUGGUCUGAGCAACGAGCCGCUCUUGCUCGCUCCCGCCUCAGCGCCCCUGCCGUCGAUGCACAAGUGGAGCACCACGUUCCUCCUGGAUCGAGUCUCGACGCUUGCUCGUGGUCCCGCGUCGACCAGAUCCAGCCUCGUGGUAGCACCGGAGACCCUGCCGCUCCCCGCCAACCGUCGUCCGGCUGUCACCGCCUACCGCUCGGCCUGUCGCCGCCAGCGUCGUCCAUCGGCCGCGUUCGCCGCCAUCCACCGGUGCCAUCCGCCUGUCGCCACCGACCGCACAUCCGGUGUUGCUGACUUCCGCGGGUGAACGUGUGUGUGUCUGUGUGGCGUGGAACUGCGACUGGUUCCAAUACAGUUCGUGAUCUAGAUCCAGAUUAUAUUCCUAAAAAAAGUAAAAAAAAAGUGGGGUGUGAUUGUUAGGAAAGCAACUUAUGUUUAUUGAGGGCCAAGGGGCAUAUAUAUAUAUUACACAAGACUUGAGGUGCAAGGAAAGUAAACAUAAACUAAAAAGCACACAAUAUGAUGGAGUCAUGUGCACCAGUACAACCGAUGAAAGUCGCGAGAGGUGUCGAGAAAGAGCGACAAUCAUCAUAUGUGAAGCUCACAAGAGAAGCAGCAGUAAAGAUACCACCACAACCUGCGGAAGACGCCGAAAGAGACGGCGAUACAAACGAACGAGCAUCAAGCGUCGAGGAACAACCCAGAUGCGAGACAGGAGCAGCAGGAGCCACCAGGCAGCAAGGGACAUGCAGACCCGAGAGGAACAUUUUUUUUUGAACACUAUCAACCGAUGAUGAACCACCAGAAAUAGUACAGCACCAUGUCACACGUGUGCACAACAGCCGUUGCAGGCCAGCACCAAGGCUAACCAAAGCAGUUUAUGCCCAGGUCAACGGACGAUGCAGCCCCGAACGGAUCUCAAUGGCCAUGCACUGACGGAUGGUCAGGCAUAGAUCGCAGCGGCAGCUGACGAACGGCGGCCGGACGGUGCCGGACGCGGACAGCGGACGGACGGCGGCCAGACUGUGGCGGAGUCGGACAGCGGCCGUACGGCUGCGGAGGCCGGAGGAUGCGCGCGUCAGCAGCGCAGGAGUCCGUCCCAAUCCAAGCAGCGGCGUCCUGCAGCAGCUUGAUGGGGAAACAGCCGGAGGACAGGCUCAAUCUGGAGCAACACACCGCCGGCUGGGGGCACGAGAUCCAGCGGGAUGAGGCGGCGGCGGCUGGAGGCGGAGAAGAGCCCAGGACGAGCCGUCCCUGCUCAGAUCGAGCAGCAGAACGAGGCAGCGUGGAGCGCGUGAGAUUGGAUCGGGAGGGCGAGUUGCGGCGCCCGAAAAAAAUAACCUAAGCUCUAAUACCAUGUUAGGAAAGCAACUUAUGUUUAUUGAAGGCCCAAGGGGCAUAUAUAUAUUACACAAGACUUGAGGUGCAAGGAAAGUAAACAUAGACUAAUAAGGACUCCUAGACUAAUACUAAUAGACUAAUGAGGACUCCUAGACUGAUACUAAUACUUCCUAACAAUGAUGUCUUCGUCGUCGGCCUACGUCAUUGUCCCUCGCUUCUCGGUGAUUUUUGAUGGGGCUAACUAUGCUGAGUUUGCUUUCUUUAUGCGCAUUCACAUGAGUGGUAUUCGUCUUUGGGGCGUUCUUUGGCAAGGUCCCGUGUCCGCCGUGCCCAGUUCCUCCUGUGGCUCCUAUCCCACCGACGCCACAGGUUCUUCCCACGGGUGCUUCUGAGGCUGAUAGGGAAGCAGACAGGAUUGUUGAUGAUGAUGUAGAGGCUGCUUAUAAUCAACAGGUUUUGGAUUACUCGAAUGCUCUUUCCUUUUAUCGAGAUAAUUUGAUUGCCAACACUCAGUGGUGUGAUGAUGAUGCCCGUGCUGCGGCUGUCCUCACUUCCAGUGUGCUACCUCAGUUUGCUUCUGAGUUUAUGGGGCUCAAUACUGUCUUUGAGAUGUGGACUCAUCUUCACCAGCGCUAUCAGCCCUCUGGUGAUGCUCUCUACCUAUCUGUGGUCCGUCAGGAGCAUGCUCUUCAGCAGAGACUCCACUAUUGAUGAGUUCUACACUCAGAGUUCUGCUAUCUGGCAUCAGCUUGACUCUCUUUGCUCUCGUGUUUGUGUUACUUGCCCAUGUUGUCAGACUGUCAGGUUAGACCUGGAGUUUCAUCGCGUCUACGAGUUUUUGUCUCGGCUCCGUGGAGAGUUUGAGCCUCGACGUGCUCGGUUGUUUGCUCGUGGUCGUGUGCCUAUUUUGGAGGUGCUUUCUGAGCUUCGUGCCGAGGAGACUCGCCUCGGUGGAGCUGGUUUAAUUCUGGUUCCUUGUAUGCAUGCUACCCGAGCUACUGCUCCAUCAUUGUUUUCUCGCAGCAGUGCUCCACCGCUAUUGCCCACUCCUUCUGCUAGUGAGGCUCGCUCUUGUGACGGUCGCUCUCGUCCUCAUACUCAUUGCGGCUACUGCAAUAGGGAUGGUCACCACGAGUCUAAUUGUUUCAAGAAGAAGCGUGAUAUGCGUAAUAGGGAGCGCAAUUCUUCUUCUGGGAUUUGAGCUUCUUCCUCGACAAUGUCUACUCUCCUUGACUGAGCAGGAUAUUGUGAAGCUUAAGCGUCUACUUGCCGCUUCAGGUUCUUCGGCGGGAACUGCAGGCUCUGUGACUCGUGCUUCUAGUGUUGAGCAACCACCGUCUACACAGUCAAGUACAUCCCCAUGGGUUCUGGAUUCUGGAGCUUCAUUUCAUAUGUCUUCUGAUUCUUCUGUCUUGUCCUCUCUUAGACCUCUCAAUUGUCCUAAUAAUGUACCUACUGCUGAUGGUACUCCUCUUCAUGUUGCUAGUCGAGGCACUCUUUUCACUUCUUCAUUUUAUGUUCCGAAUGUUUCUCAUGUUCCUCGCCUUACCAUGAACCUAUUUUCCAUAAGUCAGCUUACUGAUUCUGGUUGUCUGGUCAUUCUUGAUUUUGAUUCUUGCACUGUCCAGGAUCGUCAUACGAAGGCUCUGGUUGGGCUGGCCCUCGCUGCCUUGACUCCGAGGGGCUUUGGGAGUUAGACUAGCUUCAUGUUCCUUCCGCUGCCACCACACUCGCCAGUACAUCUGCCUUUGCCGCUUCAGCUACCAGCUCCUCCCAGCAAUGGCAUCAUGGACUUGGUCACCUUUGUGGUUCUCGGCUAUCAUCUUUAGUUCGACGUGGUCUUCUGGGGCCUGUCUUAGGAGAUCGUCUCUUUGCAUUGUCAGUGUUGUAGGGUUGGUAAACAGGUUCAGUUACCUUAUCCUACUAGCGAGUCAGUGUCUCAACGCCCUUUUGAUUUAGUUCAUUCCGAUGUGUGGGGACCAACUCCCUUGGCUUCCAAAGGGGGGCAUCGAUACUAUAUUAUUUUUAUAGAUGAUUUCUCUCGCUGCACUUGGCUCUACUUUAUGUCUUCUCGUAGCGAGGUUCUCUCUAUUUAUAAGCAUUUUGCCGCCAUGGUCCAUACUCCGUUCUCUACACCUAUUCGUGUGUUCCGUGCUGAUUCUGCUGGCGAGUAUAUUUCCAAAGUGUUGCGUGGUUUUCUUGCUGAGCAGGGAACUCUUGCUCAGUUCUCUUGUCUAGGUGCUCACGCUCAGAAUGUCGUGGCUGAGUGCAAGCAUCGUCACCUUCUUGAGACAGCUCAUGCUAUGAUGAUUGUUGCCUCUCUUCCGCCUUAUUUUUGGGUUGAGGUUAUCUCCACUGCUACAUAUCUCAUAAACAUUCAACCCUCAUCUGCUCUACAUGGAGGUAUUCCUCUAGAGCGUCUUUCUAAUCAUUCUCCUGAUUAUUCUGCUCUUCGGUUGUUUGGUUGUGUUUGUUAUGUUCUCCUUGUCCCUUGAGAACGCACUAAACUAACAACUUAGUCUGUCGAGUGUGCUUUUCUGGGCUACAGUGAUGAGCAUAAGGGUUAUCGGUGUUGGGAUCCUAUCGGUCGUCGGAUGCGUAUUUCUAGGGAUAUGACUUUUGAUGAGUCUUGUCCAUUCUACGCACGACCAUCCUCUUUAACCUUUUCAAUAGAGGAUAUCUCUUUUCUCAUGUUUCCUAAUAGACCUCCAUCUGUGCCACAUAUUCCUCUACUCCUUAUUGUCCCACUAUUGCAGAUCCAACAUCGUCUUCUCCUAUGGUUUCUUCUCCUCCCUUGUUGCAUGUCACUCCACCUUCAUCACCGAUGUCUUCUCCAUCUCCAUCACCUCCGGCGGUUCCUUCUCAUCCCACUUUUCCUUUUCAUUAUACCCGUCGUCGACGUGUUAUGGAUGAAUCUACUGACGUGCCAUCUACUUCUGAUGUGUCGUCUUCCUCCCAGCCGACUUAUGGUCUUCAGGCUCGGCCUUGCCCUCCUCCUGACCGCUAUUCUCCUAGCCGAUAUGGUCUUUCGGUUGUACUUGAGCCUACUUCUUAUCGUGAUGUUAUUGUUCACCCUGAAUGGCAGUUUGGGAUGGCAGCACUUGAGCGUAACGGCACAUGGGAUUUGGUUUCUCUUCCUCCCCGUGUUCGCCCCAUCACUUGUAAGUGGGUCUAUAAGAUUACGACUCGGCUCUGAUGGUUCUCUUGAGCGUUAUAAAGCUCGUCUUGUGGCUCAUGGCUUUCAGUAGGAGCAUGGUCGUGAUUAUGACGAGACUUUUGCUCAUGUGGCCCAUAUGACCAUUGUCUGCACUCUUCUCGUUGUGGUCUCUGUUCGCCACUGGUUUGUGUCCCAGCUUGAUGUUAAAAAUGCAUUUCUUAAUGUGAGUUGCGUGAGGAGGUUUAUAUGCAGCCACCAUCUGGAUAUUCAGUUCCCGAUGGCACGGUAUGUCGUCUUCGUCGCUCUCUCUAUGGCCUUAAGCAAGCCCCUCGUGCUUGGUUUGAGCGCUUUGCCUUUGUGAUCACUGAUGUUGCUUUUCGCCCAAUGAUCACGAUCUAACGUUGUUUGUCCACCUUUCUGCUCAUGGUCGCACUCUUCUUCUUCUAUAUGUUGAUGACAUGAUCAUCACUGGCGAUGAUUCUGAGUAUUACCUUUUUCAAAGCCCGUCUUAAUGAAUAGUUUCUUAUGUCUGAUCUUGGUCCUCUUUGUUACUUUCUUAGGACUGAGGUUUCCUGCACCUCUGAUGGCUUUUUUAUUUCCCAAUAAGAGCAUAUCCAUGAUCUUCUUACUCGUGCGGUUCUUAGUGAUUAGCGCACUGCUGAGACUCCUAUGGAGCUCAAUGUUCACCUUCAUGCUUCUGAUGGUGAGCCUUGACUGAUCCGACGCGUUAUCGUCAUCUUGUUGGCAGUCUUGUGUAUCUUGUUGUCACUCGUCCAGAUAUCUCCUAUCUCGUCCAUAUUCUGAGUCAGUUUGUUUCUGCUCCCACUUCAGUUCACUAUAGUCACCUUCUUCAUGUUCUAUGAUAUCUUCGUGGCACAAUCUCUCAUCGUCUACUUUUUCCCCGUUCUAGCUCGUUACAGCUCCAUGCCUAUUCGAAUGCUAUGUGGGCUAGUGAUCCUACAGAUCACCGUUGACUUUCUGCCUAUUGUGUCUUUCUUGGUGAUUCUCUCAUUUCCUAGAGGACGAAGAAACAGAUUGCAGUUUCUGGUUCGAGUGCAGAGGCCGAGUUGCGAGCUAUGGCUCUUUUGACAGCAGAGGUAACUUGGUUACGAUGGUUGCUAGAGGAUUUUGGUGUUUCUGUUACUACACCUACCACCCUCCUGUCGGACAGCACAGGUGCUAUCAGUAUUGCGCGAGACCCCGUGAAGCAUGAGCUUACCAAACAUAUUGGCAUUGAUGCUUCUUAUGUGCGCGCUGUUAUGCAAGAUUAUGUUGUUGCCCUUCAGUAUGUGCCUUCUGGGUUACAGCUAGCGGACUUCUUCACAAAGGCUCAGACUAGAGCACAACAUGGAUUUCACAUCUCCAAACUCAGUGUUGUGGAUCCACCAUGAGUUUGAGGGGGGGUGUUAUAUCAGUGAUGUCUUUUGGCCUUUUGUAUUCUAGUCUCUUGGCAUCCUCUUGUAGCCUUUUGGCAUCCUCAUGUAUGUGUAUAUAUGUUGGCUUUGGCCUCAUACUAAUAUAUGUUGAUAUUCCUCUUAACAUCAACAUAGUUUUGGCAUGUCACCGAAGUAUCACCACAUUUUAUCUUUUGCCGAACCUUUUUAUCCAAUAUCUUGGUUACUGGACUGUGUAACCGUUACCACAAACAUAGUUUCAGCGUUGUAAACUUUUAUGGCUGUGUGCAUCCUGGAAGCAGAAACAUACUAGAGCAAUAAAAAGUUCUGUUAUCUAAAAAUAUAAUUAGUUAUUCAUCUUAGACAAAUAUGGUGAACAAUUUUAGUAAAUACAGGAAUCUAAUUAAAUUAUCAGGCUAUAAUAAUACUCCCUCUAUUCCUAAAUGCAGUGCGCAUAAAAAAAUUCAAAAGUCAAACUUUCUAAACUUUGACUAUGUUUAUAGAGGAAAAUAUCUACAUCUAUAAUAUUAUAUAAAUAUCCUUAUAUGCACCAUUAAACAUAUAUUUAUAGUAUUUUUAUUUGGUAAUAUUUUUGUUGACACUUUUCUGACUAAACUUGGUCAAACUAAAUAAUGUUUGACUUUUACAAAAUAUUAUGCUCACUACAUUUACGAAUAGAGGGAGUAAUACCCAUAUGCCUAUACUAAAUAUUAAACCCAACUCAAUCCAAUAAGCACAUAUGACAAAACUUAUUUUUAGCUAUAGCAACUUAUACUGUUAUAGAAGACCUUGUUUCUAUUUCUUAUAAAUCACAUAAUUAUAUGAAAAUGGUAUACAGAAGGUUAAGUUAAUAAAUAGUAUAGGUAAUGAAGGGAAGAUUAUAAGUAAAUGGCAGGAGUGUACUAUUGUAAAUUAGUGGUUAAUUAAAGAAUAUAGUAAGGUGUUUAAUUUAGCUCUUCCAUAUAUGUCCACAUAGCAAGAAGAAAGGCACAAUCUGUGGACAGAUGCAAACAAACAAAGCCACAAUCUGUAUCACCAGUAUAGUGUGAGCUUAUACCUGCUCUGUUGGUGAACUUCUGGCUGCAUCAAUCUUAUUUAGUUCAUCGAUAAUGGUAGUAUCAAUCUUAUUCAAUUCAUCCACAACCUCGGCUAUAGUAGGCCUUUUCACUCGGUCAGCCUCCACACAUCUUGAUGCUAUUUCAAUGCAUUUCUUAACUCCAUCUGAUGUCUGUGACAACUCAGUUGUCUGCAACGCCUUUUCCCAGUUCUCAUGUACCUGCGGAAUUGAGACAUAAUAUGCUGGAAGGUGACACAUAUGCACACUGGUAAGUGGACAGAGCAUAAUAUUUGGGGGGGGGGGGGGGGGGGGUUUUUGGUUAUGAACUCACGGUGUUCCUAUAAUUCCUUUUGUGGAAUAGGUUUCUGUUGAAUCGAAGAGUCUGGACAGACCAAAAUCUCCUAUCUUUGGCAUCAUAUUCCUAUCCAGCAAUAUAUUUGCUGGUUUCAAGUCCAGAUGGAAAAUCGAUUCUUUUGAUCCAUUGUGAAGGUAAUUUAAUCCUUCACAGAUUCCUUUAAUGAUUUUGUAACGCGUGUGCCAACCAAAUCCACACGAUUCAUCUGCAGAGGUAACAGAAAUAUGUCACCAGGCCUUAACUUGGGGAUCGUUGCAUUCAUACNNNNNNNNNNNNNNNNNNNNNNNNNNNNNNNNNNNNNNNNNNNNNNNNNNNNNNNNNNNNNNNNNNNNNNNNNNNNNNNNNNNNNNNNNNNNNNNNNNNNUCGAGUCUUUUUUCUGCGAGUGAUUGGACUCGUGCCCUUCUUGUUCUGUUCUGGACACAGCAGGGAGCAUCUCAGGCGCUAAGAUCAUCUCCAACAGUGGCGGUAAAAGACGCGGGGAAAUGUGAAUUUAACGCUGGCGGAGCGGUUUGGUGCGUUUCAUUGGACGCGGUCCGGCGCGCUAGCUUUGGCGCGUGGCGUUCUACGCGUUUUAUAAAUUUAACGCCCCUUUACGCGCCUUUCCACCGCUCUGUGCCUCGCCAAACGUCCUCUCAUCGCUCUCGCUGCCGCUCUUUCUCAUCUUUGCUCGCCUCGCCGUCGCUCCACAAACGAUGCUUCCUAAAGAGGAGCGACACCGUGAUGCCGCCAUCAUCUGAUCUGGAAAACCAGAUCCUAGGGUUUUUCCUGGAGCAGCACGAGUGGAUCGACCUCCUUGCGCUCGUCCAUCCAAACACGAAGACUCUGUAAGAUCUGUCGUGCGUAGCACCUGCCGAACAGGCAUGACAAAACGUAGCACGUGUCGACCAGGCAUGACCUGACAUCACCACCGAAGCUCCGUGCAGGACGAAGACGCUCCACCUCCUGCCUCUGUGUUUCAGUGCUGCUCCACAAACGAUGCUCCCUAGAGAGGAACGACACCGCAAUGUCGUCAUUGUCCGAUCUGGAAAACCAGAUCCUAGGGUUUCUCCUGGAGCAGCACGAGUGGAUCGACAGUAGUUACAAGAUGAAGCCUUCAUCAAGGUAACGGCGCAUAACGCCGCCAUAGUCCGUCGUUGGCUCGGUUUUCACCGGCAACUAUGUCUCCCCGACUCGCAGCCAGUACCGAAUCCCGCGACGAGCCCGGUCACGGGAUCCCAAGAUCCGCUGUCACCGGUGGCGCCACAAAGACCCACCACCUGGCCUGUCAUCCCCGGCGGAGGGGACGCCGCCACCAUCAUGGUCGGAUCCGGGUUAGCCGUCGCCACCGCCAAGACCGGAUCCGGGCUGAACGCCGCCGCUGCCACCACCACCGGCCACGCCCAGCCCCACCUUCAUCUUCUAGCCACGUCCAGCCGACUGGCACGCCACGCCCAGCCAAUCUAACGAGGAGAAGGGAAAUCCCCGCCGCGGCCUACACCGACCGGAUCGGCGACGCGGGCCAGGCUUUGCCCCGCCGCGUCCUUAGGCGGCGGCGAGGAAGGAGAGAGGGAGAGGAGGCUGCUGGAGGUGGCGGAUGGGGAGCCCUCCCCGUCGCCAACGGAAGCGACGUGGGAGGGUCAGGUGCGAUCUGGUCAGGUCAGUUCGCUGCACCUCCUUUAGGCUUGAAAAUCAAAAGUGUUUGCUUGUACUUUAGCUAAGCAAUUUGGUUUUAAUACACCUCUUAGUGAGCUUUUCAGUUGUGGGCAUUUUCUUUUUGCCUCUUGUUGUGUGUUGAUCGUAUCUCAAGAAUAACUUUGUUCCCAAACUGUUGUAGAUGCACUUAUGCCUUUUCUAUCUCAUUUAGUUCUUAACAUGUCAAUUUAUGAAAUUAUAUAUACAUUAAAGCAAACUCAUAGUUAUGUACGGCUUACUACUUAUAUGCUUUUAGCAGUUAUCCUCUCCGCACUUGGCUACCCAGCGUUUACCGUAGGCACGAUAACUGGUACACCAGAGGUGUGUCCUUCCCGGUCCUCUCGUACUAGGGAAAAGUCCUCUCAAUGCUCUAACGCCCACACCGGAUAUGGACCGAACUGUCUCACGACGUUCUGAACCCAGCUCACGUACCGCAUUAAUGGGCGAACAGCCCAACCCUUGGAACCACCUACAGCUCCAGGUGGCGAAGAGCCGACAUCGAGGUGCCAAACCUUCCCGGGUUUAAACCCACGGUUAUGUAUUGGGUUUAAAUUGGUUUGGAUGGAAAAAAUAGUGGGUUCAGUUUUGGUUAGGCUGAAAAUGACAUUAAAUGGGUAUGGUACAAGUAUGGUUUUGGAAAAUAAAUGAACGGGUAUGGUUUAAGUAUGGUUUAAGUAUGAAAUCAUUCUCAGGUUUAUCUCCAACAGCGGCGGUACAAAUGUGGGUUUAACGCUCGCGGAACGGUUUCGUGCGUUUCACUGGGCGCGGGAGAUUCCGACGCGUGGAAGAUUCCGGCAGAAAAAGAUCACGUACGCGUGAAAAAACGGUCUGGCGCGCCCUAGCUUUGGCGCGGGGUGUUCGACACACUUUAUAAAUUUAGCGCCCCUCCACGCACCCUCCCACCGCUGUGUGCCUCGCCACGCGCCCUCUCACCGUGCGCUUUACAUUUUGUUUUUGCAUAUAAUAUGUAUCACGCGUUUUAAAUUUUAGCGCUUCUAUUGGAAUGGUGCGUGCAUUUUUUUUCAGCGCUCCGUGGCGCGCAAAAAAUUGCUAUUUCCGUGUUGUAAACUUAUUUUAGCGCGUCGCCCGGUUGCCUUCCUGUUGAAGAUACUCUAAAUAAACCACGCGCUAAAAAACCUGUUAUAUGUUGAAAGUAGGGCUUCAGCAGUCAUUUUAUAAUGUCACGCGUAGUAAACACGAAAAACUACAUGGCAUGCGGCCUAUUUGGUGUGCGUGCUCUAACGCGUUGGACAAGCGAAUCUCGCAUGCGAACCACCAACCGCCACCUGAUAGCUCCGGUCGCUCCCGUCUUCGCCGGUGAAAUUUCUGUGAUGGGCGUCCGCGCCGACAUCUCCCAACCCCUCCCUACGCCCGCGACCAAUAUGUCGCCGCGGCAAACCCUUUGCGCGGGGUUGACCUCCGGUUUCGCUGCUGGCGAAGCACCGACCUUGCGCGCGACCUUUUCAUGGCGCCCCGGACGAACUCAUAAGGUACUUCGCGCCGCCGCCUCAUGACCCACAAGUGUAGGGGAUCUAUCGUAGCAUUUUCGAUAAGUAAGAGUGUCAAACCCAACGAGGAGCAGAAGGUACUGACAAGUGGUCUUGAGCAAGGAAUAACUUGAAGUACUGAAAUGUAACUUUUUAUGGGUUUUCUGAUAUAAGAAAGCGGAAAUAAAUGCAAUAAAAGUAAAUGAUGCUGAGGUGCAGCAAGUGGCGCAAUCCUUUUCAACACGAAGGAUAAGCCGGUGGAAUGAACUUAUAAAGACUAAGACGUUUCUGAGAACAUAGGGGAGAGAUAGUCAAGUGCUUUCGCCAUAUUCUCUAUAGUAGCAUGUUUUGUAUUGAUAAGUGUUAUGUGGGUGGAUCUUAACUAGUGCACCGUCUAGGCUAAGACAAUACACUCUUAUGUUUAAUCCCUCUUGCAAGCGUCCACAAAUACAAGAGAGAAAUUAAGGCAAAGCCUAACCAUAGCAAUAAGCUUUAGGAUCCAAUACUCCCUCAUGCAAAAGUAUGCGAACUCGGGUACCCACCAUAAGCAUUCUUUAUACACGAUGCAUUCCCCUAGGUCCUUAAAAAGGCGAAGUGUUAUGUAGUCGACGUUCAUAUAACAACACUAGAAGAAUAACACCAUAACUUAAAUAUCAAUCAACACAUAUUACUUCAACAUCAUAUGACUACUAACAUCUAGACUUUUCCCAUGUCCUCAAGAACUAAAGGAACUACUCACAAGACAUAAAAGAGAUCAUGAUCAGAGGUGAUAUGAAUAUGAUAAACAAUCUGGUCAUAGCAAUAAUUCUCCAACAAAACUCAAUAGCAUUCACCACAAAAGUGUAAUCAACACCGGUAGAGUAGGGGGGAUGAAUAGUGCAAGGUACAACUUCGAUUGAAAUGGUAAGGUGAGAUAGGUGAAGAUGGAGAUGGUGCUGGUGAUGGUGAUGAUGAUCUCGAUGACGCGCGUGACGAUGGUGAUGAUGAUGGCGACGAUCUCCCCUUCCGGGAGGAGUUCUCCCCGGUGGAAACUGCCCGCCAGAAAGGUCUUUUCUUCUUUGUAGGUUUCCGCCACGGAGCGGCGGCGCAAUCACGAAAACUCUAUGCUCCCCGUAACUUUUAGGUCACGAGGGACAUAUAGGCCAAAGGAGAGCGCCGGAGGCGGGACCCACUGAUACGUCCAUUUUGUAUCAUGUUUUCACGUUGAUAUGUAUCGCUUCUUUGGCUGUUAUUUCACUUCACCGUACUAUUCUUAUGCCUUUUCUCUCUUAUUUUGCAAGGUUUACAUGAAGAGAGAGAAUACCGGCAACUGGAAUUCUGGCCUGAAAGUGGAGAAAAGUUGAGAUACAUAUUCUGCGCAACUCCAAUCGCCGUGAAAAUCAACGAAGAUUUUUUUCCCAAUUUAUAAAAAAUACAGGGCCGAAGAAGUGCCAGAGGGGCGCCACGGGGUGGCCACAAGCCUGCACGGCGCGGCCACCCCCCAGGACGCGCCAUGGGGGCUUGUGGGCACCCUGCUGGACCACUUGCCCCCCUCUUUUGCUAUAUGGAGGGUUUCGUCCAGGAAAAAAAUCAGAAGGGAGCUUUUUUGUGGUUUCGCCGCCGCCACGAGGCUGAACUUGACCAGAACCAAUCUAGAGCUCCGGCAGGACGAUCCUGUCGUGGAAACUUCCCUCCCGGAGGGGGAAAUCGUCGCUAUCGUCAUCACCAACACUCCUCUCACCGGAGGGGACUCGUCACCAUCAACAUCUUCAUCAGCACCAUCUCAUCUCCAAACCCAAGUUCAUCACUUGUAACCAAUCUCCGUCUCACGACUCUGAUUGGUACUUGUAAGGUUGCUAGUAGUGUUGAUUACUCUUUGUAGUUGAUGCUAGUUGGAUUACUUGGUGGAAGAGUUUAUCUUCAGAUCCUUGAUGCUACUCAUUACACCUCUGAUCAUGAUUAUGAUUAUGCUUUGUGAGUAGUUACUUUUGUUCCUGAGGACAUGGGAUAAGUCAUGCUAAUAACAGUCAUGUGAAUUUGGUAUUCGUUCGGCAUGUUGAUAUGUUGUAUGUUGAUUUUCCUGUAGUGGUGUUAUGUGAACGUCGACUACAUAACACUUCACCAUUAUUUGGGCCUAGAGGAAGGCAUUGGGAAGUAGUAAGUAGAAGAUGGGUUGCUAGAGUGACAGAAGCUUAAACCCUAGUUUAUGCGUUACUUCAUAAGGGGCUGAUUUGGAUCCACUAGUUUAAUGCUAUGGUUAGACUUUGUCUUGAUUCUUCUUUCGUAGUUGCGGAUGCUUGCGAGAGGGGUUAAUCAUAAGUGGGAUGCUUGUCCAAGUAAGGGCAGUACCCAAGCGCCGUUCCACCCACAUAUCGAACUAUCAAAGUAACGAACGCGAAUCAUAUGAACAUGAUGAAACUAGCAUGACAGAAAUUCCCGUGUGUCCUCGGGAGUGUUCUUCCUCCUAUAAGACUUUGUCGAGGCUUGUCCCUUGCUAUAAAAGGGAUUGGGCCACUUUGCUGCACCGUUCCUACUUUUGUUACUUGUUGUUUUCUACGAAUCAUCUCACCACACAAUCACUUAUUACCGACAAUUUCAGUGCUUGCUGAAAACCACUUGUCAGAUCCUUCUGCUCCUCGUUUGGUUCGACACUCUUACUUAUCGAAAGGACUACGAUUGAUCCCCUAUACUUGUGGGUCAUCAAGACUCUUUUCUGGCGCCAUUGUCGGGGAGUGAAGCGCCUUUGGUAAGUGGAACUUGGUAAGGAAACAUUCAUAUAGUGUGCUGAAAUUUGUUGUCACUUGUCACUAUGGAUACUAAUCCUUUGAGGGUCUCGUUCGGGGUAUCUUCACCUUGAAGGGAAGCACAAAGAGUUGCUCCUCAACCUGCUGCACCUACUGAAAAUAUUUGCUUUGAAUUUCCUUCGGGUAUGCUUGAGAAAUUGCUGGCUAAUCCUUUUACAGGAGAUGGAACAUCACAUCCAGACUUGCAUCUGAUCUAUGUAGAUGAGGUUUGUGGUUUAUUUAAGCUUACAGGUGUGCCCGAGGAUGAGGUCAAGAACAAGGUCUUUCCUUUAUCUUUGAAGGAUAAGGCAUUGACAUGGUAUAGGCUAUGUGAUGAUACUGGAUCAUGGGACUACAAUCGGUUGAAAUUGGAAUUUCAUCAAAAGUUUUAUCCUAUGCAUUUAGUACAUCGUGAUCGGAAUUAUAUUUAUAAUUUUUGGCCUCGUGACAGAGAAAGCAUCGCUCAAGCUUGGGGGAUGCUUAAAUCAAUGCUAUAUUCAUGCCCCAAUCAUGAGCUCUCGAGAGAAAUUAUCAUUCAGAACUUCUAUGCUCGGCUUUCUCAUGAUGAUCGCACCAUGCUUGACACUUCUUGUACCGGUUCUUUUAUGAAGAGAGAUAUUGACUUCAAAUGGAAUUAAUUAGAGAGAAUUAAACGCAACUCUGAAGAUUGGGAGCUUGAAGAAGGUAAGGAGUCAGGUAUGAAUUUCACUUUUGAUUGCGUUAAAUCCUUUGUUGAGACAAAUACUUUUUGUGAUUUUAGCGCUAAGUAUGGACUUGACUCUGAGAUAGUAGCUUCACUGUGUGAAUCCUUUGCUGGUCAUAUUGAUCUCCACAAAGAGAAGUGGUUUAAAUUUCAUCCUCCUUUAGAAGUCAAUGUAGUUAAACCCACUCCAGUUGAAGAGAAAGUCAUUGCCUAUAAUGAUCCUUUGGUACCCAGUGCUUACAUUGAGAAACCACCUUUCCCUGUUAGGAUAAAGGAUCAUUCUAAAGCUUCAACUGUGAUAUGUAGAGGCUAUAUUAGAACACCUACACCCUCUGAGCAAAUUAGAGUUGAACCUAGCAUUGCUAUUAUCAAAGAUCUUAUGUCUGAAGAAGUUGAGGAACAUAAUAUUUACUUUUGUGAAGAUGCUGCUAGAAUUGCUAAACCUCAUGCUAGAGACAAACAUAGGCCUAUCGUUGGCAUGCGUGUGGUUUCUGUUAAGAUAGGAGAUCAUUGUUAUUAUGGUUUAUGUGACUUGGGUGCUAGUGUUAGUGCAAUACCUCAAUCCUUAUACGAUGAAAUCAAAGAUGAGAUUGCACCUGUUGAGAUAGAGCCUAUUGAUGUCACUAUUCAGCUUGCCAAUAGAGAUACUAUUUGCCCUGUGGAAUUGUUAGGGAUGUUGAAGUCUUAUGUGGUAAAACGAAGUAUCCUGCUGAUUUCCUCGUUCUUGCUACCGCUCAAGAUAGCUUCUGUCCCAUCAUAUUUGGUAGACCUUUUCUCAAUACUGUUAAUGCUCAUAUUGAUUGUGGGAAGCAAACUGUCACUGUUGGCUUUGAAGGUGUGUCACAUGAGUUCAAUUUCUCUAAGUUUGGUAGACAACCUCAUGAAAAGGAGUUUCCUAGUGGGGAUGAAACUAUUGCCUUAGCUUCUAUUGUCGUACCUCCUACUGAUCCCUUAGAGCAAUACUUGCUUGAGCAUGAAAAUGAUAUGCAUAUGGAUGAAAGGGAUGAAAUAGAUAGAGUUGUCUUAGAACAAUAUCCUAUCCUUAAGAAUAAUCUGCCUGUUGAACUGCUCGGGGAUACACCCCCACCAAAGGGUGAUCCUGUGUUCGAACUUAAACAGUUGCCUGAUACUCUUAAGUAUGCCAAUCUUGAUGAAAAAGAGAUAUAUCCUGUUAUUAUUAGUGCUAGCUGAUACGUCCAUUUUGCAUCAUGCUUUCAUGUUGAUAUUUAUUGCUUUGUGGGCUGUUAUAUUACUUUGUGGUACCAUAUUUAAGCCCUUUCUCUCUUAUUUUGCAAGGUUUAUUUGAAGAGGGAGAAUUCAGGCAGCUGGAAUUCUGGACUCUGAAAGGAGCAAAUCUUAGUCCACUAUACUGCACAUCUCCAAAUGCCCUGAAAAGUUACGUGGAUUUUUUUGGGAUUAUAUAAAAAAUACUGGGAGAAAGAAGUACCGGAGGGGGCUGCCAGGGCGCCACAAGCCCUGCCACCGCCACCCAUUGGUGGCGGAGUGGGGGCUUGUGGGCUCCCUGACGGCCCACUAGCCCCCCUCUUUUGCUAUAUGAAGGGUUUUGGUCCAGAAAAAAUCAUUCGGGAACUUUUUCGUGGUUUCGCCACCGCCACGAGGUGGAACUUGAGCGGAUCCAAUCUAGAGCUCCGGCAGGACAAUCCUGUCGGGGAAACUUUCCUCCCGGAGGGGGAAAUCGUCGCCAUCGUCAUCACCAACACUCCUCUCGUCGGAGGGGAGGCAUCUUCAUCAACAUCUUCAUCAGCACCAUCUCCUCUCCAAUACCUAGUUCAUAUCUUGUAACCAAUUUUCGUCUCGCAACUCCAAUUGGUACUUGUAAGGUUGCUAGUAGUGUUGAUUACUCUUUGUAGUUGAUGCUAGUUGGAUUACUUGGUGGAAGAGUUUAUGUUCAGAUCCUUGAUGCUACUCAUUACACCUCUGAUCAUGAUUAUGAUUAUGCUUUGUGAGUAGUUACUUUUGUUCCUGAGGACAUGGGAUAAGUCAUGCUGAUAAUAGUCAUGUGAAUUUGAUAUUCGUUCGGUAUUUUGAUAUGUUGUAUGUUGUCUUUUCCUCUAGUGGUGUUAUGUGAACAUCGACUACAUAACACUUCACCAUAUUUGGGCCUAGAGGAAGGCAUUGGGAAGUAGUAAGUAGAUGAUGGGUUGCUGGAGUGACAGAAGCUUAAACCCCAGUCUAUGCGUUGCUUCGUGAGGGGCUGAUUUGGAUCCACUAGUUUAAUGCUAUGGUUAGACUUUGUCUUAAUUCUUCUUUCGUAGUCGCGGAUGCUUGCGAGAGGGGUUAAUCAUAAGUGGGAUGCUUGUCCAAGUAAGGGCAGUACCCAAGCGCCGGUCCACCCACAUAUCAAACUAUCAAAGUAACGAACGCAAAUCAUAUGAACAUGAUCAAACUAGCAUGACAUAAAUUCCCGUGUGUCCUCGGGAGCGUUUUUCCUCCUAUAAGACUUUGUUCAGGCUUGUCCCUUGCUACAAAAGGGAUUGGGCCACUUGCUGCACCGUUGCUACUACUUGUUACUUGUUACUUUUUGCUUGCUACGUUUCACCUCGCUACACAAUCACUUGUUACCGCUACUUUCAGUGCUUGUAGUUAUUACCUUGCUAAAAUCCGUUUAUCAGAGCCUUCUGCUCCUCGUUAGGUUCGACACUCUUACUUAUCGAAAGGACUACGAUUGAUCCCCUAUACUUUUGGGUCAUCAAGACUCUUUUCUGGCGUCGUUGCCGGGGAGCGAAGCGCCUUUGGUAAGUGGAAAUUGGUAAGGAAACAUUUAUAUACUGUGCUGAAAUUUAUUGUCACUUGUCACUAUGGAAACUCUUCCUUUGAGGAGUUUGUUCGGGGUAUCUUCACCACGAACGGAAGCACGAGGAGUUGUUCCUCAACCUGAGGUACCUACUGAAAAUAUCUUUUAUGAAAUUCCUUCGGGUAUGCUUGAGAAACUGGCGGCUAAUCCUUUUACAGGAGAUGGAUCUUCACAUCCAGACUUGCAUCUAAUCUAUGUAGAUGAAGUUUAUCGUUUAUUUAAGCUUGCAGGUUUGCCCGAGGAUGAGGUAAAGAAGAAAGUCUUUCCUUUAUCUUUGAAGGAUAAGGCGUUGACAUGGUAUAGGCUAUGUGAUGAUACUGGAUCAUGGGACUACAAUCGGUUGAAAUUGGAAUUUCAUCAAAAGUUCUAUCCUAUGCAUUUAGUACAUCGUGAUCGGAACUUUAUUUAUAACUUUUGGCCUCGUGACAGGGAAAGCAUAGCUCAAGCUUGGGGGAGGCUUAAAUCAAUGCUAUAUUCAUGCCCCAAUCAUGAGCUCUCGAGAGAAAUCAUCACUCAAAACUUUUAUGCUCGGCUUUCUCAUGAAGAUCGUACCAUGCUUGAUACUUCUUGUACUGGUUCUUGUAUGAAGAAGGAUAUUGAUCACAAGUGGAGUUUAUUGGAGAGAAUCAAACGCAACUCUGAAGAUUGGGAGCUGGAGGAAGGUAAGGAGUCACGUUUGAAUUUCCAGUUUGAUUGCGUUAAAUCUUUUGUUGAGACAAACACUUCUAGAGAUUUUAGCGCUAAGUAUGGACUUGACUCUGAGAUAGUAGCUUCUCUAUGUGAAUGUUUUGCUGCUCAUGUUGAUAUUCCCAAAGAGAAGUGGUUUAAAUAUCAUCCUCCUGUAGAAAGCAACAUAGCCAAAACCAAUCUAGUUGAGGAGAAAGUCAUUGCUUUUAGUGAUCCUGUUGUUCCUUGUGCUUACACUGAGAAACCACCAUACCCUGCUAGGAUAAAGGAUUAUUCUAAAGCUCCAACUGUGAUACGUAGGGGUUACAUUAGACCACUUGCACCCCCUGAGGAGAUUAGAGUUGAGCCUAGUGUUGCUAUUAUCAAAGAUCUCUUAGCCGAAGACAUAGAUGGGCAUGUUAUCAAAUUAUGUGAGGACUCCGCUAGAAUUGCUAAACCUCACGCGAAAGGCAAAUACGGACCUGUAAUUGUCCUGCCCGUUGUUUCUGUUAAGAUAGGAAAUCACUGUUACCAUGGUUUAUGUGAUAUGGGAGCUAGUGUUCGUGCAAUACCCCAUUCUCUAUAUGAUGAAAUCAAAGAUGAGAUUGCACCUGUUGAGCUAGAACCCAUUGAUGUCACUAUCACGCUAGCUAAUAGAGACACUAUCUGCCCUCUGGGAAUUGUGAGAGACGUAGAAGUCCUGCUAAGUAAGACGUAGAAGUACUGGGAAUUGUGAGAGACAUAGAAGUCCUGUGUGGUAAGACGAAGUAUCCUACUGAUUUCCUCGUCCUUGGUACUGCACAAGAUAGCUUUUGUCCCAUCAUAUUUGGUAGACCCUUUCUCAACACUGUCAAUGCUCACAUUGAUUGCAUUAAGCAGACCGUCACAGUUAGUUUCGAGGGUGUGUCUCAUGAAUUUAACUUCUCCAAGUUUGGAAGACAACCCCAUGAAAGAGAGUCGUCUGGUAGGGAUGAAAUCAUUGCUCUUGCAUCUAUUGCCGUACCUCCUACGAAUCCUUUAGAGCAAUAUCUUCUUGAGCAUGAAAAUGAUAUGCAUAUGGAGGAGAGAGAUGAGAUAGAUAAAAUUGUCUUAGAACAAUAUCCUAUUCUCAAGAAUAAUCUGCCUGUUGAACUGCUUGGGGAUCCUCCCCCACCAAAGGGUGAUCCUGUGUUCGAGAUUAAACAGUUGCCUGAUACUCUUAAGUAUGCCCAUCUUGAUGAGAAGGAGAUAUAUCAUGUCAUUAUUAGUGCCCUCCUCUCAAAGCACGAAGAGAAGAAGUUACUAAGAACUCUGGGGAAGCACUGUGCUGUUAUUGGAUAUACUCUUGAUGAUCUUAAGGGUAUUAGUCCUACUCUAUGUCAGCACAAGAUUAAAACCGAUCCUGACUUUAAACCAGUUGCUGAUCAUCAAAGGAGAUUAAAUCCUAAGAUGAAAGAGGUCAUUAGAAAAUAAAUAUUAAAGCUUCUGGAAGCAGGAAUCAUUUAUCCUGUUGCUCAUAGUGAUUGGGUAAGUCCAGUACAUUGCGUACCUAAGAAGGGAGGUCUCACCGUCGUUCCUAAUGAUAAGGAUGAACUAAUCCCACAAAGGAUUAUUACCGGCUAUAAGAUGGUGAUAGACUUCCGGAAACUUAACAAGGCAACUAGGAAAGAUCAUCAUCCUUUGCCGUUUAUCGACCAAAUGCUAGAAAGGCUAUCAAAACACACACACUUCUGCUUUCUAGACGGUUAUUCAGGUUUAUCGCAAAUACCUGUUGCGCAAUCUGAUCAGGAGAAAACCACUUUCACCUGCCCCUUCGGUACCUUUGCUUAUAGACGUAUGCCUUUUGGCUUAUGCAAUGCACCUGCCACCUUCCAAAGAUGUAUGAUGGCUAUAUUCUGUGACUUUUGUGAAAAGAUUGUCGAGGUUUUCAUGGAUGACUUCUCCGUUUACGGGUCUUCCUUUUAUGAUUGCCUCAGCAACCUUGAUCGAGUCUUACAGAGAUGCAAAGAUACCAACCUCGUCUUGAAUUGGGAGAAGUGCCACUUUAUGGUUAAUGAAUGUAUCGUCUUAGGACACAAAAUUUCUGAGAGAGGCAUUGAAGUUGAUAAGGCUAAGGUUGAUGCAAUUGAGAAAAUGCCUUGCCCCACAGAUAUCAGAGGUAUACGAAGUUUCCUAGGUCAUGCUGGUUUCUAUAGAAGGUUCAUUAAAGACUUCUCUAAGAUUUCUAGGCCUCUUACCAACCUCUUGCAGAAGGAUGUUCCUUUUGUUUUUGAUGAGGAUUGUGAGGAAGCUUUCGAAAUACUUAAGUAGGCUUUGAUAACCGCACCUAUUUUUAAACCACCUGACUGNNNNNNNNNNNNNNNNNNNNNNNNNNNNNNNNNNNNNNNNNNNNNNNNNNNNNNNNNNNNNNNNNNNNNNNNNNNNNNNNNNNNNNNNNNNNNNNNNNNNAUCAGCCGUAGACCUUCACUUCGUGUGAUCAGCCGUUUGAUGCUGAGGAUUGGAUUCGCGACAUGAACAAGCACUUUGAGUGCAGCAAUGUCCGUCCAGAGGAUCUCGUCAAGUUUGCUACAUUCUAGCUGAAGGGGCAAGCAUCGAUCUCGUGGUAGCAGUUGAAGGAUUCCAGGGGUGCCAGAGUGAUCACUUGGGAUGAGUUCUGUAGAGACUUCAGGUCCCACUAUAUCCCAUAUAGCUUUGUGGAGGAGAUGCGUGAGAAGUUCAGGCGCUUGAAGCAAGGUGGUAACUCCGUGUACAAGUACAACGUCGAGUUCCACGAGCUAGCACGAUAUGCCUUGCACGACAUUCCAGAUCAGAAGAGCAAGAUCUAUCAGUUCAGAGGUGGUCUAAAAGAGGAUUUGCAGCUAGCCCUCGCUUUGCACGAUCCUGAGGACUUCGAUAAGUUCUACAACUUGGCUCUCAGGGCUGAGGCAGCUUUGCUCAGGGUGGAGAAUUCGAAGAAGCGUUUCAGAGAUUCCAGCUCGUCUUCCUCAACUCAGGUGGUUCAGAAGCAACAGAAAUAUUGGGUGUCUCCUCCUCCUCCUCGGCACACGCAGCAGUUCAAGCAAUCAGGUGGCCGUGGUUCUUCCCACCCACCCAACCUAGCUUUCUAGCAGAGGUUUCAGCAGCAGAAGCAAGGGACUCCUCAGACACAGUACCGUCAGCCGGCAGAUGUUACUUGUCACAAGUGUGGGCAGAAGGGUUACUAUGACAACAAGUGCACUUCUCAGCUGCGUCUUCCGCCUCCUCCUCCAGGCAAACCUCCAAGCAAUGCUAUAGUGAAGUUCAACCCCAGGUCUGCUAGAGUCAAUAUGGUGAAUGCAGCUGAAGCAGAAAACUCGUCAGACGUGAUUAUGGGUAACCUCCUCGUUAAUGAUAUUCCUGCUAAAGUUCUGUUUGAUUCUGGUGCUUCUCAUUCAUUCAUGUCUAGAAUGUUCUUUUUCGAGCAUGAUUUUGAUUCUGAGUAUUUGAGCAAGGCGUUACGUGUGGUGUCACCCGGUACUCUUAUGAGCGCCAACAAAGUGGUUCGGGAUGUCACAGUCAAGAUGGGGGAUUAUGCUUUUCUGGCAUCUCCUAUUGUCCUUGGCAAUUCUGAUAUUGAUUUGAUCCUUGGUAUGGACUGGUUGGCUAUGAACAAGGCAUCUAUUGAUUGUGAAGCUAAAGAAGUGAAGCUAACUCACUCUUCGGAGGAUGUGAUUAUCUUCGCAGCGCGCGAUGACACAAUCCGUGUGUUUUCCUUGAAUGAGAAGGGUGAGAUCUCUCCAAUUUCACAAGUCCGAGUGGUCUGCGAGUAUGAAGAUGUUUUUCUAGAAGAACUACUACGAAUGCCCCCACACGGAGAAGUUGAGUUCGUAAUUGACCUUGAACCGGGUACUAAGCCUGUGUGCAAAUGGCCGUACAAAUUGGGUCCAGAAGAGCUGAAGGAACUGAAGAGACAACUCGAUGAGCAGGAGCGUCUGGGUCUGAUCAGACCAAGCUCUUUUCCGUGGGGCUGUGGAGUGUUGUUUGUCAAGAAGAAGGAUGGCACAGACCGAUUGUGUGUCGAUUACCGUCCAUUGAACAAGAAGACAAUCUGAAACAAGUAUCCACUUCCUAACAUUAAUGAGUUGUUCGAGCAAUUGAAAGGGGCUAAGGUCUUCUCCAAGCUCGAUCUCACGAUGGGUUAUCAUCAGAUUCGCAUUCGCGAAGAGGGUAUUCCAAAGACUACUAUCAGGACAAGCUUUGGCUCGUAUGGGUAUACAGUGAUGUAUUUUGGUCUGGCAAAUGCUCCACCGACCUUCUGUCGUAUGAUGAAUUACAUCUUCUCCCCAUUCAAUAAUAAAUUCGUCUUGCUGUAUCUUGAUGACAUUCUGGUCUUUUCGGAAACUGAGGAAGAGCAUGAAGAACAACUCAGGUUGGUGCUUGAUAAGCUGAGAGAGCAUAAGUUCUAUGCUAAGUUUUCCAAAUGUGAGUUCUGGUUGAAAGAAGUUGUCUAUCUUGGGCAUAUCAUCUCUGCCGAGGGCAUCAAAGUUGAUCCGUCAAAGGUGCAGGCCAUUGUUGAGUGGGAGCCUCCGCAAAGUGUGAAGCAACUUUGAAGGUUUCUCAGGGUUGCAAGCUAUUGUAGAAGAUUCGUGUGACGUCUCCGUCGUACCUACUUUUCCAAACUCUUUUGCCCUUGUUUUGGACUCUAAUUUGCAUGAUUUGAAUGGAACUAACCCGGACUAACACUGUUUUCAGCAUAAUUGCCAUGGUGUUGUUUUUGCGCAGAAAUAAAAGUUCUCGGAAUGACCUGGAAAAUUACGGGGAUUUUUUGUGGAAUAUAUAAAAAAUACUGGCGCAAGAAUCAACGGAGGAAGUGGAGCAUGGAGCCCACAAGCCCACCAGGCGCGGGCCCCCUGGCCGCGCCUGGCAGGCUUGUGGGGCCCAUGAAGCUCCACCGCCUCCAAUAUCAGCUCUAUUUAGUCCCUUUCGUUCGGAAAAAAAUCAAGGAGGAGAGUUCAUCGCGUUUUACGAUACGGAGGCGCCGCCACCUCCUGUUCUUCCUCUGAAGGGCAGAUCUGGAGUCCGUUCUGUGCUCCGGAGAGGGGAGAUCGGCGCCAUCGUCAUCACCAACCGUCCUUCAUCGCCAAUUCCAUGAUGCUCUUCACCGUUCGUGAGUAAUCUCAUCGUAGGCUUGCUGGACGGUGAUGGGUUGGAUGAGAUCUAUCAUGUAAUCGAGGUAUUUUUGACGGGGAUUGAUCCCUAGUAUCCACUUUGUUCUCAGAUUGAUGUUGCUACUACUUUGCCAUGCUUAAUGCUUUGUCACUAGGGCCCGAGUGCCAUGAUUUCAGAUCUGAACCUAUUAUGUUGUCGCCAAUAUAUGUGUGUUCUUGAUCCUAUCUUGCAACUUGUAGUCACCUACUAUGUGUUAUGACCCGGCAACCCCGGAGUGACAAUAGCCGGAACCACUCCCGGAGAUGACCAUAGUAUGAGGAGUUCAUGUAUUCACUAAGUGUUAAUGCGUUGGUCCGGUUCUUUAUUAAAAGGAGAACCUUAAUAUCCCGUAGUUUCCAUUAGGACCCCGAUGCCACGGGAGGGAUGGACAAUAGAUGUCAUGCAAGUUCUUUUCCCUAAGCACGUAUGACAACAUAUGGAAUACAUGCCUACAUUACAUUGACGAACUGGGGCUAGUUACUUAUCUCUCCGUGUUAUAACUGUUGCAUGAUGAAUAACAUCCGGCAUAAUCAUCCAUCACCGAUCCAAUGCCUACGAGUCUUUUCCUACUGGUCCUUGCUACGUUACUCUGCUGCUACUGCUGUCACUGCUGCUACUGUUACUCUGCUGGUGUUACUGUUACUCUGCUGCUACUGCUGUCACUUUAUUGCUACUGGUUACUGUUGCUACUGUUGCUAUCUGAUACGUCCAUUUUGCAUCAUGCUUUCAUGUUGAUAUUUAUUGCUUUAUGGGCUGUUAUAUUACUUUGUGGUACCAUAUUUAUGCCUUUUCUCUCUUAUUUUGCAGGGUUUAUUAGAAGAGGGAGAAUUCAGGCAGCUGGAAUUCUGGACUGGAAAAGAAGCAAAUCUUAGUCCACUAUUCUGCACAUCUCCAAAUGCCCUGAAAAGUUACGUGGAAUUUUUCGGGAUUAUAUAAAAAAUACUAGGCUAAAGAAGUACCAGAGGGGGGCUACCAGGGCGCCACAAGCCCUGCCACCGCCACCCCCUGGUGGCGGAUGGCAAGCUUGUGGGCUCCCUAACGGCCCACUGGCCCCCCUCUUUUGCUAUAUGAAGGGUUUCGUUCCAGAAAAAAUCAAUCGGGAGCUUUUUCGUGGUUUCGCCGCCGCCACGAGGCGGAACUUGAGCAGGACCAAUCUAGAGCUCCGGCAGGACGAUCCUGACGAGGAAACUUCCCUCCCGGAGGGGGAAAUCAUCGCCAUCGUCAUCACCAACACUCCUCUCAUCGGAGGGGACUCAUCACCAUCAACAUCUUCAUCAGCACCAUCUCAUCUCCAAACCCUAGUUCAUCACUUGUAACCAAUCUCCGUCUCGCGACUCCGAUUGGUACUUGUAAGGUUGCUAGUAGUGUUGAUUACUCUUUGUAGUUGAUGCUAGUUGGAUAACUUGGUGGAAGAGUUUAUGUUCAGAUCCUUGAUGCUAUUCGUUACACCUCUGAUCAGGAUUAUGAUUAUGCUUUGUGAAUAGUUAAUUUUGUUCCUGAGGACAUGGGAUAAGUCAUGUUAAUAAUAGUCAUGUGAAUUUGAUAUCCGUUCGGUAUUUUGAUAUGCUGUAUGUUGUUUUUCCUCUAGUGGUGUUAUGUGAACGUCGACUACAUAACACUUCACCAUUAUUUGGGCCUAGAGGAAGGCAUUGGGAAGUAGUAAGUAGAUGAUGAGUUGCUAGAGUGACAGAAGCUUAAACCCUAGUUUAUGCGUNNNNNNNNNNNNNNNNNNNNNNNNNNNNNNNNNNNNNNNNNNNNNNNNNNNNNNNNNNNNNNNNNNNNNNNNNNNNNNNNNNNNNNNNNNNNNNNNNNNNAGAGUUAUAUUCUAGCCUGUAUAUUUUCCCCGUUAUAUGGGGUUUCCUGCAUAUUUACCACCUGUACAUGUAUAUAUAUAUAUUGGUCAUUGGCCCUCAGGGAACACAAGUUGUAUAUUCCUAACAGUCCUGUGUUAUCUUUUGUAGCGUAGUCGCUUGCGUUGUGUGUGUUCCGACUAUCACGGGAUCGGCUUUGUAAGAGGGCCACCUCACCACCUUGUAUCGUUCAGCCGUGUACUUUGUUCGGUUGUUGCUUUAUAUAUAAAGUGGGGCGAAAUCCUGUUUCGAGAGAUAGGAAGACAGAAACAUACUUAAUACAUGAGCUGCCUUUUUCUUUUGAACGGUUGUACCCCUCCUCCUGUUAUUACCUCCCCUACCUCUUCUUAAACCGGCUUGGUUAUGGCCGUGCAGCGCAUAAGUAACCUUUCAUGUAAUUGACCAUAUGGUCCCCAGGCUCAUGCCAGUUUUGAAAGCAGACCAGGCUCACGCCAGUAUUGAAAUACAUAAGGUAGAGACUGCUCUACCUUCGUUUCAAAAAGAAAAGGAAAAAUAUGGUGGCCUUGUAUAACUGCAAAUUAUAUUUUAGAUAGUGGCUAUGUAUACAAAAUAGGAGGGAGUAGUGAAGAUCACGGAUGACCGUCAUGUGCCAAUGUUCUUUUUAAGGUAUUCCAUGUGAAAAUUAAAUGUUCGAGUUUUCAAUCUACUUUGUUUAUUGCUCAUCGAUUUCAAAUGAAAAACCUAUAUGCAUAGUGUCUGAAGUUGUAUUUCGAAGAUUACCUGUUACAAUAUAUUCCGGAGCAGCAUAACCAUAUGUUCCCACAACCAUUGUGGAUACAUGACUCUUCUCACCAACGGGACCAUCAGUUGCGAAUCCAAAAUCACUGAGCUUCGCAGUAUAGUCCUGCACAGUAGUAUGAUGCAUUCCUUUCAGUGGAUAUCACAUGAUCAUAAAGGUGAAGUGCGAUGUAUUGACGAUCCACUUACGCUGUCAAGGAGAAUAUUGGAACUCUUAACAUCUCUAACAAUAAUCUUUGCUUCUGUACUGUGAAGGUAAGCUAUUGCUUUCGCAGCUCCAAGUGCAACUUUCGUUCUCAGGUUCCAUGCAAGAGGUUGACAUGAGCCUCCUAUAUCAAAGAUUUAUAUAGCAAUUUAUAAAUAUAACACACUAUGGCGUUACACUAUGCAGUACGAAUAACAGUGGACAACAGUGGAGCACAAAGUCCUAAUUUAACUUACUCCCAAAAAGAUGUUCUUCCAAGCUCCCACGUGGUAGGAACUCGUACACUAGUAGCCGGUGCUUAUCCUCCAAACAGUACCCAAAUAGCUUCACAAGGUUGGGAUGGGAAAGGUGACCUAGGUAAUUGACUUCUGCCUGUAAAUGGAAACAUAACAGAGUUACAAAUCCUGCAAUAUUUCAUCAGCACUUGUGAAGCUGUAACUGCCAAAAUAGAAUUCAUCACUUCAAGAUAAGAUUUCGAAAGUGUACUUAGACCACACAUGAAUCUACAUAGCUUCGAGGACAACACCACAAAAUAGAAUGACAGUUAUACUCACCAACCACUCUCGAUGCCCUUGUACCCCCUCGUGGUUUAAUCUUUUCACUGCAACAGGUAUACUAGUGCAAGAUUUGCCAGAUGACAAUGUGUUCUCAUCGAUCCAUCCUUUAUAUACAGUUCCAAACCCUCCUUCACCAAUCACACAGCCAACAUGAAACUUCCUUGUGGCUGACCUGAGAUUAUCAUAACUGAACACCUUAACACUGGCUAAUGGCAAGAUCUGGCAUUUAAUACUCCCAUCUUUACGACCACCUAACAUUCCUGCAUAUCAUGUCUUCAGUACUUUUUAACGAACAAAACAUACACAAAAAAUACCAAAUUAGCUUAAUAUUUUAAAAGAAAAUGUUCUCUGGUUGAUACGCUUUUGUAUUGAUCUACGUCAGGUCCAUAGUUAUGAUGUUCUGCAAGAUCCACAAAAUAGAAUGACAGUUAUACUCACCAACCACUCUCGAUGCCCUUGUACCCCCUCGUGGUUUAAUCUUUUCACUGCAACAGGUAUACUAGUGCAAGAUUUGCCAGAUGACAAUGUGUUCUCAUCGAUCCAUCCUUUAUAUACAGUUCCAAACCCUCCUUCACCAAUCACACAGCCAACAUGAAACUUCCUUGUGGCUGACCUGAGAUUAUCAUAACUGAACACCUUAACACUGGCUAAUGGCAAGAUCUGGCAUUUAAUACUCCCAUCUUUACGACCACCUAACAUUCCUGCAUAUCAUGUCUUCAGUACUUUUUAACGAACAAAACAUACACAAAAAAUACCAAAUUAGCUUAAUAUUUUAAAAGAAAAUGUUCUCUGGUUGAUACGCUUUUGUAUUGAUCUACGUCAGGUCCAUAGUUAUGAUGUUCUGCAAGAUUUAAAUGUUUGGUUCUAUUCUUUAGGGAAACUGCACAGAAACUAGGAACCGACUCAAGCAAGCUUGGUCACUUGCCAUCAUCUAAAAAUGGUAUGAGCGGAGAGAAGCAUAGUUGCCUGGAAAGGUCCAGGAGGGAGUCCAAUAUGUUACUUAGUUGGAGUCUGGUCAAAAGUACUAAAUGCUUACCUGAGUGCACGCAUGGGUUGAAGGCCUGAUUGCUUCGUAGGUUGGUGACCUACAACAGAACUUUAGAGCUUUAGCUUUUUUUAUAUGAGUCUCUCUUAGACUGAACAUAUAGUAGUAUUUAUCCCAAAAAAUGUAUAGCAGUAUUUAAACAUUAUUAGUCCUAUUCUGUAGACACACUUAAACCACAUUACAGUGAUUGGUUGAGACAUCAAAGAGCAGGCAAACUGCUUUCUGUUUGUCAGGUGAGAAGACACAACCAAAUAAUUUUGAACUUAUUGUGCAUGUCAUGAAGUUAAUGUAUUUCUAUGGAUAAUGUACAGUUUAACUAGUUAUGCAUCAGAACAUCCCGAUCUCUUCUUAGAAAACAUCCUGAUAUAAAAUAUGCGGAUGUGUAAGAUGAGGGUUCCUUUAUAGAUAAAGGUAACUUAGAUUGGCAGGGUGUAGUAAGAAGUGUGCUUUUUACAAACAUGAGGGAUUUGUCCAAUAUUUGUUCUUUGACUAUUAGUUCACGCAUUUUGCGUUGCGUGUGGUCAGAUCCGGCAUUCUCCAUCAGAGAGCACUACUCAUAUUUUUGCAAUUAGCUCAUACCGGACCUAAAAGAUUUAGGGAAAACUUAUUAAUUGGAGCAGACGAGUGGCCACAUGUUGGGCAGUCAAGGUGUGGAGCCGCUCUGCGAACCUGGGUGUGACUACUGCGGCAAGAGGGCAGGGGAAUGGCCCUCUCAGCGCAUACAAGGUUGGACAUAGCGGUACGACUGCUUUUCAUAAGCUAUGCUUGGCAGUUUAGUUUGUUAGAAUUAUCUUAGUGGUGCCUUUUGGCUUCUGUAUUCUAGUCUCUUGGCAUCCUCUUGUAGCCUUUUGGCAUCCUCAUGUAUGUGUAUAUAUCUGGCUUUGUCCUCAUAAUAAUAUACGUUACUAUUCCUCUAACAUCAACAUGGUAUCAUGAGCCUAGGUUAGGGAUCUUUUUGUGGGUGCCGCAACACGCCCAGACAAUCGGCUGUGCUGCUCCAUACCGCUGCUGCUACCCCGCCCCCGCGUACAGUUCAUUUGUUGCCGCUGCUCCCACCCACCCCUCUGGAUCGAGCCGAUACUCGACUUGCUUCCCGUCGCUGGCCGCCUCUGUCAUUCGCCGCAGGACCAUCUUCAAUCACUGGUUCCCGCCGUCGGCGGCCUUCAGAUCGAGGACGCCUGGCGCCAUCAAGGUCUGCGACCAACCUGGUCUGAGCAACGAACCGCUCUUGCUCGCUCCCGCCUCAGCGCCCCUGCCGUCGAUGCACAAGUGGAGCACCACGUUCCUCCUGGAUCGAGUCUCGACGCUUGCUCGUGGUCCCNNNNNNNNNNNNNNNNNNNNNNNNNNNNNNNNNNNNNNNNNNNNNNNNNNNNNNNNNNNNNNNNNNNNNNNNNNNNNNNNNNNNNNNNNNNNNNNNNNNNCCCCCCCUCCCCCCUUUCUCCCUCCCCCUGGGCUCGGCCUUGCCCUCCUCCUGACCGCUAUUCUCCUAGCCGAUAUGGUCUUUCGGUUGUACUUGAGCCUACCUCUUAUCGCGAUGUUGUUGUUCACCCUGAAUGGCAGUUUGGGAUGGCAGAUGAGAUUGUUGAGCGUAACGGCACAUGGGAUCUGGUUUCUCUUCCACCCUGUGUUCGCCCCAUCACUUGUAAGUGGGUCUAUAAGAUUACGACUCGGCUCUGAUGGUUCUCUUGAGCGUUAUAAAGCUCAUCUUGUGGCUCGUGGCUUUCAGCGGGAGCAUGGUCGUGAUUAUGACGAGACUUUUGCUCAUGUGGCCCAUAUGACCAGUGUCCGCACUCUUCUCGUUGUGGCCUCUGUUCGCCAUUGGUCUGUGUCCCAGCUUGAUGUUAAAAAUGCCUUUCUUAAUGGUGAGUUGCGUGAGGAGGUUUAUAUGCAGCCACCAUCUGGAUAUUCAGUUCCCGAUGGCACGGUAUGUCGUCUUCGUCGCUCUCUCUAUGGCCUUAAGCAAGCCCCUCGUGCUUGGUUUGAGCGCUUUGCCUUUGUGAUCACUGAUGUUGCUUUUCGCCCAAUGAUCACGAUCUAACGUUGUUUGUCCACCUUUCUGCUCAUGGUCGCACUCUUCUUCUUCUAUAUGUUGAUGACAUGAUCAUCACUGGCGAUGAUUCUGAGUAUUACCUUUUUCAAAGCCCGUCUUAAUGAACNNNNNNNNNNNNNNNNNNNNNNNNNNNNNNNNNNNNNNNNNNNNNNNNNNNNNNNNNNNNNNNNNNNNNNNNNNNNNNNNNNNNNNNNNNNNNNNNNNNNUUGUGUGGUGAGAUGAUUCGUAGCAAGCAACAAGUAACAAAAGUAGCAACGGUGCAGCAAAGUGGCCCAAUCCCUUUUAUAGCAAGGGACAAGCCUCGACAAAGUCUUAUAGGAGGAAGAACACUCCCGAGGACACACGGGAAUUUCUGUCAUGCUAGUUUCAUCAUGUUCAUAUGAUUCGCGUUCGUUACUUUGAUAGUUCGAUAUGUGGGUGGAACGGCGCUUGGGUACUGCCCUUACUUGGACAAGCAUCCCACUUAUGAUUAACCCCUCUCGCAAGCAUCCGCAACUACAAAAGAAGAAUCAAGACAAAGUCUAACCAUAGCAUUAAACUAGUGGAUCCAAAUCAGCCCCUUAUGAAGUAACGCAUAAACUAGGGUUUAAGCUUCUGUCACUCUAGCAACCCAUCUUCUACUUACUACUUCCCAAUGCCUUCCUCUAGGCCCAAAUAAUGGUGAAGUGUUAUGUAGUCGACGUUCACAUAACACCACUACAGGAAAAUCAACAUACAACAUAUCAACAUGCCGAACGAAUACCAAAUUCACAUGACUGUUAUUAGCAUGACUUAUCCCAUGUCCUCAGGAACAAAAGUAACUACUCACAAAGCAUAAUCAUAAUCAUGAUCAGAGGUGUAAUGAGUAGCAUCAAGGAUCUGAAGAUAAACUCUUCCACCAAGUAAUCCAACUAGCAUCAACUACAAAGAGUAAUCAACACUACUAGCAACCUUACAAGUACCAAUUGGAGUUGCGAGACGAAAAUUGGUUACAAGAUAUGAACUAGGUAUUGGAGAGGAGAUGGUGCUGAUGAAGAUGUUGAUGAAGAUGCCUCCCCUCCGACGAGAGGAGUGUUGGUGAUGACGAUGGCGACGAUUUCCCCCUCCGGGAGGAAAGUUUCCCCGACAGGAUUGUCCUGCCGGAGCUCUAGAUUGGAUCCGCUCAAGUUCCACCUCGUGGCGGUGGCGAAACCACGAAAAAGUUCCCGAAUGAUUUUUUCUGGACCAAAACCCUUCAUAUAGCAAAAGAGGGGGGCUAGUGGGCCGUCAGGGAGCCCACAAGCCCCCACUCCGCCACCAAUGGGUGGCGGUGGCAGGGCUUGUGGCGCCCUGGCAGCCCCCUCCGGUACUUCUUUCUCCCAGUAUUUUUUAUAUAAUCCCAAAAAAAUCCACGUAACUUUUCAGGGCAUUUGGAGAUGUGCAGUAUAGUGGACUAAGAUUUGCUCCUUUCAGAGUCCAGAAUUCCAGCUGCCUGAAUUCUCCCUCUUCAAAUAAACCUUGCAAAAUAAGAGAGAAAGGGCUUAAAUAUGGUACCACAAAGUAAUAUAACAGCCCACAAAGCAAUAAAUAUCAACAUGAAAGCAUGAUGCAAAAUGGACGUAUCAGCUAGCACUAAUAAUAACAGGAUAUAUCUCUUUUUCAUCAAGAUUGGCAUACUUAAGAGUAUCAGGCAACUGUUUAAGUUCGAACACAGGAUCACCCUUUGGUGGGGGUGUAUCCCCGAGCAGUUCAACAGGCAGAUUAUUCUUAAGGAUAGGAUAUUGUUCUAAGACAACUCUAUCUAUUUCAUCCCUUUCAUCCAUAUGCAUAUCAUUUUCAUGCUCAAGCAAGUAUUGCUCUAAGGGAUCAGUAGGAGGUACGACAAUAGAAGCUAAGGCAAUAGUUUCAUCCCCACUAGGAAACUCCUUUUCAUGAGGUUGUCUACCAAACUUAGAGAAAUUGAACUCAUGUGACACACCUUCAAAGCCAACAGUGACAGUUUGCUUCCCACAAUCAAUAUGAGCAUUAACAGUAUUGAGAAAAGGUCUACCAAAUAUGAUGGGACAGAAGCUAUCUUGAGCGGUAGCAAGAACGAGGAAAUCAGCAGGAUACUUCGUUUUACCACAUAAGACUUCAACAUCCCUAACAAUUCCACAGGGCAAAUAGUAUCUCUAUUGGCAAGCUGAAUAGUGACAUCAAUAGGCUCUAUCUCAACAGGUGCAAUCUCAUCUUUAAUUUCAUCGUAUAAGGAUUGAGGUAUUGCACUAACACUAGCACCCACGUCACAUAAGCCAUGAUAACAAUGAUCUCCUAUCUUAACAGAAACCACAGGCAUGUCAACAAGAGGCCUAUGUUUGUCUGUAACGUGAGGUUUAGCAAUUCUAGCAACAUUUUCACAGAAGUGAAUAUUAUGUCCCUCAACAUCGUCGGACAGAAGAUCUUUGAUAAUAGCAAUGCUACGUUCAACUCUAAUUUUCUCAGGGGGUGUAGGUGUUCUAAUAUAGCCUCUACGUAUCACAGUUGAAGCUUUAGAAUGAUCCUUUAUCCUAAUAGGGAAAGGUGGUUUCUCAAUGUAAGCACUGGGAACAACACGAUCAUUAUAGGCAAUGACUGUCUCUUCAACUGGAGUGGGUUUAACUACAUUGACUUCUAAAGGAGGAUGGUAUUUAAACCACUUAUCUUUGGGGAGAUCAAUAUGAGCAGCAAAUGAUUCACACAAUGAAGUUACUAUCUCAGAGUCAAGUCCAUACUUACGCUAAAAUCACUAAAGGUAUUUGUCUCAACAAAGGAUUUAACGAAAUCAAAUGUGAAAUUCAUACCUGACUCCUUACCUUCUUCAAGCUCCCAAUCUUCAGAGUUGCAUUUAAUUCUCUCCAAUAAAUUCCAUUUGAAGUCAAUAUCUCUCAUCAUAAAAGAACCGGUACAAGAAGUGUCAAGCAUGGUGCGAUCAUCAUNNNNNNNNNNCCUAAUGAUAAUUUCUCUCGAGAGCUCAUGAUUGAGGCAUGAAUAUAGCAUUGAUUUAAGCCUCCCUCAAGCUUGAGAGAUGCUUUCUUUGUCACGAGGCCAAAAAUUGUAAAUAUAAUUCUGAUCAUGAUGUACUAAAUGCAUAGGAUAAAACUUUUGAUGAAAUUCCAAUUUCAACCGAUUGUAGUCCCAUGAUCCAGUAUCAUCACAUAGCCUAUACCAUGUCAACGCCUUAUCCUUCAAAGAUAAAGGAAAGACCCUCUUCUUGAACUCAUCCUAGGGCAAACCUGCAAGCUUAAAUAAACCACAAACUUCAUCUACAUAGAUNNNNNNNNNNGAUUUCAUCGUAUAAGGAUUGAGGUAUUGCACUAACACUAGCACCCAAGUCACAUAAACCAUAAUAACAAUGAUCUCCUAUCUUAACAGAAACCACACGCAUGCCAACGAUAGGCCUAUGUUUGUCUCUAGCAUGAGGUUUAGCAAUUCUAGCAGCAUCUUCACAAAAGUAAAUAUUAUGUUCCUCAACUUCUUCAGACAUAAGAUCUUUGAUAAUAGCAAUGCUAGGUUCAACUCUAAUUUGCUCAGAGGGUGUAGGUGUUCUAAUAUAGCCUCUACAUAUCACAGUUGAAGCUUUAGAAUGAUCCUUUAUCCUAACAGGGAAAGGUGGUUUCUCAAUGUAAGCACUGGGUACCAAAGGAUCAUUAUAGGCAAUGACUUUCUCUUCAACUGGAGUGGGUUUAACUACAUUGACUUCUAAAGGAGGAUNNNNNNNNNNAAAUUUAAACCACUUCUCUUUGUGGAGAUCAAUAUGACCAGCAAAGGAUUCACACAGUGAAGCUACUAUCUCAGAGUCAAGUCCAUACUUAGCGCUAAAAUCACAAAAAGUAUUUGUCUCAACAAAGGAUUUAACGCAAUCAAAAGUGAAAUUCAUACCUGACUCCUUACCUUCUUCAAGCUCCCAAUCUUCAGAGUUGCGUUUAAUUCUCUCUAAUUAAUUCCAUUUGAAGUCAAUAUCUCUCUUCAUAAAAGAACCGGUACAAGAAGUGUCAAGCAUGGUGCGAUCAUCAUGAGAAAGCCGAGCAUAGAAGUUCUGAAUGAUAAUUUCUCUCGAGAGCUCAUGAUUGGGGCAUGAAUAUAGCAUUGAUUUAAGCAUCCCCCAAGCUUGAGCGAUGCUUUCUCUGUCACGAGGCCAAAAAUUAUAAAUAUAAUUCCGAUCACGAUGUACUAAAUGCAUAGGAUAAAACUUUUGAUGAAAUUCCNNNNNNNNNNNNNNNNNNNNNNNNNNNNNNNNNNNNNNNNNNNNNNNNNNNNNNNNNNNNNNNNNNNNNNNNNNNNNNNNNNNNNNNNNNNNNNNNNNNNGGCAAGGUCAUGGACGAUGACGCCCUCUUCCUCGACUUCCAGCAUGGCCACGAGCACCGGGGCAAUGCCGACGGUCGUCGGCAUUGCCGUCUCGUCCUACUCUUUGCCCGCCAUCUCCUUCUCACCGAGGUUUUCUCCCCGGACGACUACGCUCUAAUGACACCCGCUCUGGUAAGUUUCAAUUUUCCCCUUUGCUUGCAAAUGUAGAUUAGGGUUUUCUGCAUUAGGCAUGGUCCAAUCGGUCCGUUCUUGUUUGUUAUUGUUGCUUUGUGCACUGUCCCAAGUUGUUCAUGCAAAGUAGGCGUAGUUUUUGCUUCCCCACUGGUAGAUUUGUGCUUGCAAAAUAGGUAUUACAUUAUGCCAGCAUAUGCUUCAUGUUCAUGAUGUUCAUGGUAGGUUAGAGCCGGCAUAUGAUUCAUGUUCAUGGUGUUCAUGGUAGAUUAGAGCCAGCAUAUGCUUCAUGUUCAUAGGCAUGCUUGAUGUUGAAGGUAGAUUGAUAUUUGCAUAAGCUGGGUUUGUGCAUGAUUUUAUUACGUGCAUGGUGAACUUGCUAGGUAGGACAAAUGUGCAUAUACUCAUACAUGUUAUAGGACCAAUGUGUUUGCUUGUUUAGGUAGUACUAUCAAUGUGGCAUGCUGCCAAAUGUGGAAGUGGGCAAAAAAUGCACUUCUAGCUUCACAUCAUGCAUUGAUAUUUUGGAAACUGCACUGACGGUGGCAGUUGCCCAAGUGCAAGUUUCACUGCGCACUGCCACUGAUCAAUGUUAGAUCAUAAUGCCUUGUUACUAAUACAUGGCAUCUUAUCUGACAAGGUCAUGAAGACAGAGUGGGGCGUAGCUGGUGGAGGUACCCAGGUCAUGGUUGGCGUCGAGCGUGCCAAUGACCUCCUCCCCGUGAAUCGCUCGCUCAAGAAGGUGAACCUACCUUGUAGAGCCGCCUUCAUGAGCCUGCCAUGUUCAAGUGGACGAUCUACGAGGACCAGCCACAAGGAGGGGUCCCGAGAGCCGCUACGCUUCUACGUGCAGAUCAAGGACAUGGAGGAUCUCACCAUGCUCAUCAUCCCUCCCAAGUUAGUGGAGGUGAUGAAGGAGUGGCUGGUGGUCAAGCUCCCGCCCAUCGUCAGGCUGUCGGCCAACAAGUGGUCCGAGUUUUGGGUUCAGGUCCAGAACUUCGAGGGGCAAAUUCCUUAGCCGGGGCUGGUAGUACUUCUGCCGACGUUGUCACAAGAUCGUCCCCGGCGACCUCCUCGUCCUGCGAAUCUUUGGCCUUGACUUGAAGGUGCAGAUUUACAAUCAUGACAACUCGAUCAUGUGCAGGUGCGUUGCACCAGACAUAGAUGCAUUGAUGACAUUUCUCUCGUGCUCUAGAUCAUCAGUUUAGUACCUAGUCAUGGUAAGAACCUGCAAGUAGUUUGUAGUGAUGGUGAUGGUUUGAACUUGUGAUGUGAAGUUGUUCAUAUUUUAAUCAGGAUCAACACCCUCGUGUGAAGCAGGGGCCAUGGGAUGCCCUUGCUGUCUUUAACUAUGGUCAGAAUUAUAUUAGUUUGCCUCUUAAUCUGAUCUUUACCAUCUAUCUAUUGUUUGUUGUCAUUGUUUUACUAGCGGUUGUGCAUGUUGUUGUGCAGUUAUCGUGGUGAUAAUGGGCCAGUAGAACACAAACGUGUGCACGCAGCCAAACAAUUCUGGUUUGCAUUUGCUCAUCCCUUAAGCACAUAUGUGUGCAACCAAACAGUCGACCCUAAAAUGACCAUUGAUGCAAUGCAGGCAAACAAACAAUAUGCAAAGAUGGAUUGUGUGCUAUUAAGCUCGAUAUGCAUAAAGCUUAUGACAGAGUUGAGUGGCCUUUUCUGAAGGAGAUUAUGUUGAGACCAGGCUUCCGUCAAGAUUGGGUAAAUCUUAUUAUGCAAUGUGUCUCGGCUUUCGAAUACAGGUACGAAUUAAUGGGAGGAAAGUAAAAGUUUUAAACCAACAAGGGGGUUUGAGGCAGGGUGAUCCGUUGCCACCUUAUCUUUCUUAUUAUGCACAGAAGGUUUGAAUGCAUUGCUAGCACAUGCCGAGGAAAAUGAAAAUAUUUUGGAAGUGAAAGUUUAUAGAGAUGCCCCACCCAUCACAAACCUUCUCUUUGUGGAUGAUUCGUUGAUUCUUAUGAAAGCCACUAGCUCUCAAAUCAGUACUAGAUUCAUACUAUGCGGUUUCUGGACAAUUGGUCAGUGAUACGUCCAUUUUGCAUCAUGCUUUCAUGUUGAUAUUUAUCGCUUCUUGGGCUGUUAUUUCACUUCACGGUACAAUACUUAUGCCUUUUCUCUCUUAUUUUGCAAGGUUUACAUGAAGAGGGAGAAUGUCGGCAGCUGGAAUUCUGGCUGAAAUUGGAGCAACUUUGAGAUACCUAUUCUGCGCAACUCCAAACGCCGUAAAAAUCAACGAUGAUUUUUUUCUGGAUUUAUAAAAAAUAGUGGGCUGAAGAAGCGUCAGAGGGCCACCAGCAGGUGGCCACAAGCCUGCUAGGCGCGGCCACCCCCUGGUCGCGCCUAGGGGGCUUGUGGGCAGCCUGAUGGCCCACUGCCCCCCCCUCUUCUGCUAUAUGAAGGGUUUCGUCUGGAAAAAAAAAUCAAGGAGGAGCUUUUUCGUGGAUUCGCCGCCGCCACGAGGCGGAACUUGAGCAGAACCAAUCUAGAGNNNNNNNNNNAACCAAUCUAGAGCUUUGGCAGGACGAUCCUGUCGGGGAAACUUCCCUCCCGGAGGGGGAAAUCGUCGCCAUCGUCAUCACCAACACUCCUCUNNNNNNNNNNCGGCAUGACGAUCCUGUCGGGGAAACUUCCCUUCCGGAGGGGGAAAUCGUCGCCAUUGUCAUCACCAACACUCCUCUCAUCAGAGGGGACUCGUCACCAUCAACAUCUUCAUCAGCACCAUCUCAUCUCCAAACCCUAGUUCAUCACUUGUAACCAAUCUCCGUCUCGCGACUCCGAUUGGUACUUGUAAGGUUGCUAGUAGUGUUGAUUACUCUUUGUAGUUNNNNNNNNNNCCAUUACCUCUCUGGUCAUGGAUAUGAUUAUGUUUUAUGAGUAGUUACUUUUGUUCCUGAGUACAUGGGAUAAGUCAUGCUAAUAGUAGUCAUGUGAAUUUGGUAUUCGUUCGAUAUUUUGAUGUGUUGUAUGUCGUUUUUCCUCUAGUGGUGUUAUGUGAACGUCGACUACAUAACACUUCACCAUNNNNNNNNNNNNNNNNNNNNNNNNNNNNNNNNNNNNNNNNNNNNNNNNNNNNNNNNNNNNNNNNNNNNNNNNNNNNNNNNNNNNNNNNNNNNNNNNNNNNAUCUACUUACUACUUCCCAAUGCCUUCCUCUAGGCCCAAAUAAUGGUGCAGUGUUAUGUAGUCGAUGUUCACAUAACACCACUAGAGGAAAAACAACAUACAACACAUUAAAAUAUCAAACGUAUACCAAAUUCACAUGACUACUAUUAGCAUGACUGAUCCCAUGUCCUCAAGAAAAAAAGUAACUACUCACAAGGCAUAAUCAUAUUCAUGACCAGAGAGGUAAUGAGUAGCAUCAAGGAUCUGAACAUAAACUCUUCCACCAAGUACUCCAACUAGCAUCAACUACAAAGAGUAAUUAACACUACUAGCAACCUUACAAGUACCAAUCGGAGUCGCGAGACAGAGAUUGGUUACAAGAGAUGAACUAGGGUUUGGAGAUGAGAUGGUGCUGAUGAAGAUGUUGAUGGUGACGAGUCCCCUUCGAUGAGAGGAGUGUUGGUGAUGACGAUGGCGACGAUUUCCCCCUCGGGGAGGGAAGUUUCCCCGGCACGAUCGUCCUGCCAGAGCUCUAGAUUGGUUCUGCUCAAGUUCCGCCUCGUGGCGGCGGCGAAUCCUCCAAAAAGCCUCCUCCUGAUUUUUUCGGAACGAAACCCUUCAUAUAGCAGAAGAGGGGAGCCAGUGGGCCAGCAGGGAGCCCACAAGCCCCCUAGGCGCGGUCACGGGAGUGGCCGCGCCUACCAGGCUUGUGGCCCCCUGGUUGCGCUCCUCUAGCACUUCUUCGGCCCAGUAUUUUUUAUAUAUUCCCAAAAAAAUCCACGUUGAUUUUCACGGCUUUUGGAGUUGCGCAGAAUAGGCAUCUCAAACUUGCUCCUUUUUCAGGCUAGAAUUCCAGCUGUCGGCAUUCUCCCUCUUCAUGUCAACCUUGCAAAAUAAUAGAGAAAAGGCAUACGUAUUGUACCGUGAAGUGAAAUAACAGCCCAAAAAGCAAUAAAUAUCAACAUGAAAGCAUGAUGCAAAAUCGACGUAUCAACUCCCCCAAGCUUAGACCUCGCUUGUCCUCAAGCGAAAGCCGAGCACAAUAAAUAUCCCCACAUGUUUAGGGAGAGAGGUGUCGAAAAAACAAGAUACGAACAUACAUGCAUCAUGAUCAUGAUCAGAAUAGCAAUACCAGCAUAUAAUCUCUCAUGCUAAAGUGACAAUUCCUUCACAAAGUAAAGUAUGGAUCAAGAACCUUACCGAGAAAUAGCAACCGAUAGCCUUUAGUCAUUGAAGCAAUUGCAAUUUAUCACAACAUCGGAAAGAGUCAAAUAAUAGCUUGUAAAGCAAAUCCACAUACUCAAUCAUCUUUUCAUUCUCUACAAUUGCUACAACUCACGUGGUACUCAUGAGAUCAAAGUUUCAGUUGGACACAUAGAAAGAUACGGUAAUGUCAACAAUAAUAAUUCAUGAAUGCUUACCUCCAAGUUGACAUAUGAAUAUAGAUCUUUCCCAAGCAUACGACGUUAGCCAAGAUAAAGGCGAAAUAAGGAAUUGGUGAAGAUCACCAUGACUCUUUCAAGGGCAAAAAAUAAAGGUACAAGAUAGGCCCUUCGCAGAGGGAAGCAGAGGUUGUCAUGCACUUUUGAGGUUUGGACGCGUGUCCUCUUAGUGCGGAGGAACGUCACUUUAUAUUGCCUCCUGUGAUAAAGAACUUUAUUAUGCAGUAUGUCGCUUUUAUGCCUUCCUCAUCAUAGGUUAGUACAAAGCUUAUUUUCUACACACUAAUAGAUCAUACAUAUUAGGGAGCAAUUUUUAUUGCUUGCAGCGAUGACAACUUACUUGAGGGAUCUUAUUCAAUCCAUAGGUAGGUAUGGUGGACUCUCAUGGCAAAACUGGGUUUAAGGUUUAUGGAUGCACAAGUAGUAUCUCUACUUGGUGCGGGAGUUUUGGCUAAUAUGAGGUGGAAGCAAUCGUCACAUGCUAAGGGAUCUAUAGUCAUAUAACAUUGUUCGGAACCAAGCAAAUACAAUUCAUUAUGUUGUCUUCCUUGUCCAACAACUACUUCUAAGCAUGUAAUAGUUUAGUGAGUGCUCACAAUCAUAGAUGGUGUCAAAGAUGAUAUAUUUAUAUGUGAACCUCUCCUUCUUUACCACUUCCUAUUAAUUGCAACAAUGACCAAGGUCUAAGUUUGUCUACCCUCAACAAGUUUCAAUGAACAAUAUUUUUAUAUGUGAAGCCAUCACUUCCCAUAAGAUCAUUACAUGAUCUUUCAUGCUUUUGUUCCUUUCUCACUCUUUUGAUCAUGGGAAGAGGCAAAGCCCUCAACUAAGACAUGCUUUAUCAUGUGGAUCACGAGCUCGAAUACUAAAACACUAAGACUUCUAAUCUACUAGAGAAAAAGAAAACUGAAAAGGAACAAACUAAAACAAAGGUAAAGGCAAAAGAUGUGAUGGUGAUACGAUACCAGGGCAACUCCCCCAAGCUUGGCACAAGCCAAGGGGAUUGCCCAUACCCAUGCUUAGUUGUCUUCCUUUGGAGGUGAUGGUGCUGGAGUUGUUGCGACAUGGGUUUGAUCCUCCGUCUUCCAAGGCAGAGGUGCUCCAUCAUGGAAAGAUGAACGAGUCUCCGGAAUCCUCAAAUCUGCAGUCAACCGUAUUGAUUUUAAUCUAUACUCAUUCUCAUAGUUUUGGUUCUCUAGGUCAUAGAUUUGGGCCUGGAGGUAAUCAAUCCUGUCAUAGAGCCUGGAGAGGUGCUUCCCAAUGUCAUUAGCAUCGAUCCUGUGCUUGCUGGUGAACUCCGUGAUCAUCAUGUGGUUGGCGUUGAGUCCACGCUCCACCAUCCCUUGGCACUUGAAGACCUGUUGCUCCAUUGCUUCGAGCCUCGCCUCCAUGCUUCCGGUCUUCUUGGGUCCCUCAACAUCACAGAUGUGCAACAUCCCCUCACGCAUCUCGAUAGAUUGAGCGUGUUGCAGCACUUUCGUGAGGUAGGGAUUGAUGACCUUCUCGAAGAUCUUGUCCUUCGGAGCUUUUGGGGACGUCAUGGCAAUCUAGAUCUGCAACAGAAAUAGGCUCGAAACGAAAACAGAGGAAAUCUGCGUGAUGCGAGGGUCAGACCUUACGGGAGAAUAUAUAAUGAUUUUUUCCAAACCAGAAGGAGUACUCAGCAUGAAAACGGAGUCCAGGAGGCACACGAGGUGGCCACAAGCCCCCAGGGGCGGCCAGGGGGUGGGCCCGUGCCUGGCAGGCUUGUCGCCUCCUCGCGCGCUUUCCGGACUACUUCCAAUUUUUCUAUUUUUCUAAAUAUUCCAAAACGGAGAAAAAUUCCUACUGGAAAAGUUUUGGAGUCUGUUUUCUUACCGAAUCACAUACCUCUUCAUUUUCGGAGUUUGAAACAGGCUGAUAAAUAUCCCUUAGGUAUUCCUCCGGAGUUAUGGUAUUGAUGACAUUGCUUUCAACAUUUAUGGGAGUACCUGAGAUAUAAUGCUUGAUUCUUUGCCCAUUUACAACUCUCGGACAAUUACCUUCCAUGUUGUUGAUCUUGAUAGCACCGGAACGAUAUACUUCUUCAACAAUAUAGGGACCUUCCCAUUUAGAGAGAAGCUUGCCUGCAAAAAUCUUAAACGAGAAUUAUAUAGCAAGACAUAAUCACCUACAUUGAACUCACGCUUUUGUAUCCUCUUAUCAUGCCAUCUGUUAACCUUUUCUUUGAACAACUUGGCAUUUUCAUAUGCCUGAGCUCUCCAUUCAUCAAGCGAGCUAAUGUCAAAUAAUCUGUUCUCACCAGCAAGUUUGAAAUCAAAGUUGAGAUCUUUGAUUGCCCAAUAAGUUUUAUGCUCUAGCUCAAGAGGUAAAUGACAUGCUUUACCGUACACCAUUUUGUACGGAGACAUGCCCAUGGGAUUCGUAUAGGCAGUUCUAUAAGCCCACAGUGCAUCAUCGAGCUUCUAAGACCAAUUCUUUCUAGACAUGUCGACAGUCUUUUGUAGAAUUAGUUUAAUUUCUCUAUUGCUUAGCUCUACUUGACAACUAGACUGAGGGUGAUAGGGAGACACAAUUCUAUGGUUGACAUCGUACUUAGCAAGCGUUUUACGGAAAGCACCAUGAAUGAAAUGUGAACCACCGUCGGUCAUUAGAUAUAUAGGGACUCCAAAUCUAGGGAAGAUUACUUCUUUAGGCAGCCUAAUAGAUGUGUUGUGAUCAACACUACUAGUGGGGAUAGCUUCUACCCACUUAGUAACGUAAUCAACAACAACUAAGAUGUGAGUAUACCCGUUGGAUUUUGGAAAAGGUCCCAUAUAAUCAAAGCCCCAAACAUCAAAUGGUUCAAUGACAAAUGAAUAGUUCAUAGGCAUUUCCUGACGUUUACCGAUAUUACCUACUCUUUGGCAUUUGUCACAAGACAAGACAAACUUACACGCAUCCUUGAAGAGAGUGGGCCAAUAGAAACCUGAUUGCAAUACCUUGUGUGCAGUUCUAUCUCCUGCAUGGUGUCCUCCGUAGGCCUCGGAGUGACACUUCUGUAGGAUCUUUCGCUGUUCAUCUUCAGGUACACAACGUCUAAUAACACCAUCUACUCCUUCCUUAUAAAGUUGAGGAUCAUCCCAAAAGUAAUGUCUCAAGUCAAAGAAGAAUUUCUUAUUUUGCUGGAAUGUGAAACUAGGUGGUAUAUAUUUGGCAACGAUAAAGUUUGCAUAAUCAGCAUACCACGGUGCACUAUGUGAAGUAUUGAUGACAUUCAAUUGCUCAUCGGGGAAGCAAUCAUUAAUAGGUUGUGGGUCAUCAAGAACGUUCUCUAACCUAGACAAGUUAUCUGCUACGGGGCUAUCAGCACCCUUCCUGUCGACAACGUGCAAAUCAAAUUCUUGUAGCAAGAGAACCCAUCUGNNNNNNNNNNCUUCUUCUCCAUGAGGUACUUAAUAGCAGCGUGAUGAGUGUGAAUAGUGACUUUGGAAUCAACUAUGUAAGACCUGAACUUUUCACAUGCAAACACGACUGCGAAAAAUUCCUUUUUCGUAGUGGCAUAGUUUCUUUGGGUAGUGUCUAGAGUUUUACUAGCAUAGUGAAUAACAUUCAACUUCGUAUCAACUCUUUUCCCUAGGACAACACCAACAUCAUAAUCACUAGCAUCACACAUGAUUUCAAAAGGUAAGCUCCAAUCAGGUGGUUGAACAAGAGGUGCAGUUAUCAAAGCCUUCUUAAGUAUUUCGAAGGCUUCCUCACAAUCAUCGUCAAAAACAAAAGGAAUAUCCUUAUGCAAGAGAUUGGUAAGAGGCCUAGAAAUCUUAGAGAAGUCUUUAAUGAACCUCCUAUAGAAACUAGCAUGACCAAGGAAACUUCUUAUACCUUUGAUAUCUGUGGGGUAUGGCAUUUUAUCGAUCGCAUCAACUUUAGCCUUACCGACUUCAAUACCUCUUUCGGAAAUUUUUUGUCCUAAGACGAUGCCUUCAUUAACCAUAAAGUGGCACUUCUCCCAAUUCAAGACAAGNNNNNNNNNNCAAGACUCGAUCGAGGUUGCUGAGACAAUCAUCAAAGGAAGACCCGUAAACGGAGAAGUCAUCCAUGAAAACCUCAAUAAUCUUUUCACCAUAGUCAGAGAAUAUAACCAUCAUACAUCUUUGAAAGGUGGCAGGUGCAUUACAUAAGCCAAAAGGCAUACGUCUAUAAGCAAAGUUACCGAAAGGGCAGGUGAAAGUGGUUUUCUCCUGAUCAGAUUGUUCAACUGGUAUUUGGGAGAAACCAGAAUAACCGUCUAGAAAGCAGAUGUGUGUGUGUUUGGACAGCCUUUCUAGCAUUUGGUCGAUAAAAGGCAANNNNNNNNNNNNNNNNNNNNNNNNNNNNNNNNNNNNNNNNNNNNNNNNNNNNNNNNNNNNNNNNNNNNNNNNNNNNNNNNNNNNNNNNNNNNNNNNNNNNCGUAUCAAACGUCGCAACGUAACUGGGUGAAUAAACAUGCUGUACAGGUAUCUCCGAAGGUGUUCGUUGAAUUAGUAUGGAUCGAGACUGGGAUUUGUCACUCCGUGUGACGGAGAGGUAUCUCGGGGCCCACUCAGUAAUACAACAUCACACACAAGCCUUGCAAGCAAUGCGACUUAGUGUAAGUUGCGGGAUAUUGUAUUACGGAACAAGUAAAGAGACUUGCCGGUAAACGAGAUUGAAAUAGGUAUGCGGAUACUGACGAUCGAAUCUCGGGCAAGUAACAUACAGAAGGACAAAGGGAAUGACAUACGGGAUUAUAUGAAUCCUUGGCACUAAGGUUCAAACGAUAAGAUCUUCGUAGAAUAUGUGGGAUCCAAUAUGGGCAUCCAGGUCCCGCUAUUGGAUAUUGAUCGAGGAGUCACUCGGGUCAUGUCUACAUAGUUCUCGAACCCGCAGGGUCUGCACACUUAAGGUUCGACGUUGUUUUAUGCGUAUUUGAGUUAUAUGGUUGGUUACCGAAUGUUGUUCGGAGUCCCGGAUGAGAUCACGGAUGUCACUAGGGUUUCUGGAAUGGUCCGGAAACAAAGAUUGAUAUAUAGGAUGACCUCAUUUGAUUACCGGAAGGUUUUGGGAGUUACCGGGAAUGUACCGGGAAUGACGAAUGGGUUCCGGGUGUUCACCGGGGGGGCAACCCACCCCGGGGAAGCCCAUAGGCCUUGGGGUGGCGCACCAGCCCUUGGUGGGCUGGUGGGACAGCCCAAGAGGGCCCUAUGCGCCAAGGUUAGAAAAUCAAAGAGAAAAGAAAAAAAAGGAGGUGGGAAAGGAGAGAAGGACUCCACUUUCCAAUCCUNNNNNNNNNNNNNNNNNNNNNNNNNNNNNNNNNNNNNNNNNNNNNNNNNNNNNNNNNNNNNNNNNNNNNNNNNNNNNNNNNNNNNNNNNNNNNNNNNNNNGUCACGAGGCCAAAAGUUAUAAAUAAAGUUCCGACCACGAUGUACUAAAUGCAUAGGAUAGAACUUUUGAUGAAAUUCCAUUUUCAACCGAUUGUAGCCCCAUGAUCCAGUAUCAUCACAUAGCCUAUACCAUGUCAACGCCUUAUCCCUCAAAGAUAAGGGAAAUACCUUCUUCUUGACCUCAUCCUCGGGCAAACCUGCAAGCUUAAAUAAACCACAAACUUCAUCUACAUAGAUNNNNNNNNNNUACUUUCUUCUUUACCUCAUCCUCGGGCAAACUUGCAAGCUUAAAUAAACCACAAACUUCAUCUACAUAGAUCAGAUGCAAGUCUGGAUGUGAAGAUCCAUCUCCUCUGAAAGGAUUAGCCAGCAGUUUCUCAAGCAUAUCGGAAGGAAUUUCAUAAAAGAUAUUUUCAGUAGGUACCUCAGGUUGAGGANNNNNNNNNNUUUCUUCUUUACCUCAUCCUCGGGCAAACCUGCAAGCUUAAAUAAACGAUAAACUUCAUCUACAUAGAUUAGAUGCAAGUCUGGAUGUGAAGAUCCAUCUCCUGUAAAAGGAUUAGCCGCCAGUUUCUCAAGCAUACCCGAAGGAAUUUCAUAAAAGAUAUUUUCAGUAGGUACCUCAGGUUGAGGAACAACUCCUCGUGCUUCCGUUCGUGGUGAAGAUACCCCGAACAAACUCCUCAAAGGAAGAGUUUCCAUAGUGACAAGUGACAAUAAAUUUCAGCACAGUAUAUAAAUGUUUCCUUACCAAUUUCGACUUACCAAAGGCGCUUCACUCCCCGGAAACGACGCCAGAAAAGAAUCUUGAUGACCCACAAGUAUAGGGGAUCAAUCGUAGUCCUUUCGAUAANNNNNNNNNNNNNNNNNNNNNNNNNNNNNNNNNNNNNNNNNNNNNNNNNNNNNNNNNNNNNNNNNNNNNNNNNNNNNNNNNNNNNNNNNNNNNNNNNNNNAAGUUCAUGAUUACUUUGCUAGUUUGCUUGAAUUAUUAUUGUUUCCACGUCAAUAGAAAACUAUUGUUUUGAAUCUAAUGGAUAUGAACAUUCACGUCACAUAAGAGGAAUUACAAAGGACACCUAUGCUAGGUAGCAUGAAAGCAUCAAAAAUUCAUUCUUAUCACUUCCCUACUCAAGGACGAGCAGGAGUUAAGCUUGGGGAUGCUUGAUACGUCUCAAACGUAUCUAUAAUUUUUGAUGGUUUCACGUUGUUAUCUUUCCUUCUUUGUAUGUUUUAUGUACCUUUUUAUAUCUUUUUGGGACUAACUUAUUAACUCAGUGCCAAGUGCCAGUUCCUGUUUUUUCCGUAUUUUUGACUCUUUUCAGAUCUGAUUUUGGAACGGAGUCCAAACGGAAGAAAAACCCCGAAAUGAUUUUUUCCCAAACGGAAGAAGUCCAGGGGGCUUUUGGGCCAAGCCAGGUGGGCUCCAGGGAGCCCACAAGCCCCCACUCCACCACCAGGGGGAGGCGGCGACGGGCAGGCUUGUGGCCUCCCUGGUCGCCCCCUGACCUAGAUCUUUGGCCUAUAAAUUCCCAAAUAUUCCGCAAAAAAUCAGGGGAGCCUCGAAAAUACUUUUCCGUCGCCGCAAGCUUCUGUUUCCGCGAGAUCUCAUCCGGAGACCCUUCCCGGCACCCUGUCGGAGGGGACUUUGGAGGUGGAGGCUUCUUCAUCAUCAUCAUCGCCCCUCCAAUGACUCGUGAGUAGUUCACUUCAGACCUACGGGUCCGUAGUUAGUAGCUAGAUGGCUUCUUCUCUCUCUUGGAUCUUCAAUACAAAGUUCUCCAUGAUCUUCAUGGAGAUCUAUCCAAUGUAAUAUUCUUUGCUGGUGUGUUUGUCGAGAUCCGAUGAAUUGUGGACUUGUGAUCAGAUUAUCAAUGAUAUAUAUUUGAGUCUUUACUGAUUUCUUAUAUGCAUGAUUUGAUAUCCUUGUAAGUCUCUUCGAGUCUUGGGUUCUGUUUGGCCAACUAGAUCAAUGAUUCUUGCAAUGGGAGAAGUGCUUGGUUUUGGGUUCUGCCAUGUGGUGACCUUGCCCAGUGACAGUAGGGGCAGCAAGGCACACAUCAAGCAGUUGCCAUCAAGGGUAAAAAGAUGGGGUUUUAUCAUUGGUUUGAGAUUAUCCCUCUACAUCAUGUCAUCUUGCUUAAGGCGUUACUCUGUUCUGAUGGACUUAAUACACUAGAUGCAUGCUGGAUAGCGGUGGACGUGUGGAGUAAUAGUAUUAGAUGCAGAAAGUAUGGGUCUACAUGUUUCAGACGUGACGCCUAUAGAAAUAAUCAUUGCAUAGAUAUCGUCACGACUCUGCACAGUUCUAUCAAUUGCUUGACUGUAAUUUGUUCACCCACCGUCUACUUGCUUUCAUGAGAGAAGACACUAGUAAACACUACGGCCCCCGGGUCUAUUCACAUCCAUCGUUUACAUCUCCGCUUUUACUUUGCUUUGUUACUUUGUUGCUUUCAGUUCUCACCUGGCAAACAAUCUAUAAGGGAUUGACAACCCCUUCAUAGCGUUGGGUGCAAGCUUUUGUGUUUGUGCAGGAUCUUGAGAUACUCUUCCGCCGGAUUGAUACCUUGGUUCUCAAACUGAGGGAAAUACUUACCGUCGUUGUGCUACAUCACCCUUUCUGCUUCUAGGGAACACCAACGCAAGGCUCCAAGGCCACGGGGGAAAUCCUUUGCAUACUUGCCUAGGAAGUCCCUUAAGGCGUAGCCAUAGUUGAAGGAUUCAUGGUGCCGUCGACACAACUAUUUCUGGCGCCAUUGCAAGGGAUACACAACAAACAUCAGAAGUAUUUCUGGCGCCAUUGCCGGGGAGGAGAAAUCAAGAUCUAUCCAAGUAGGUCUCACAAACUCUUCUCUUGCAUUUACUUUUGUUGCCAGUUGCCUCUCGUUUUCCUCUCCCCCACUUCACAUUUUCCGUUUUCAUUCGCCUUUCUCCUUCGUCGUUUUCUUUUGCCCUUGCCGUUUUCCUUUGCCGGUUUCUUGCUUGCUUGUGUGCUUGUUUGUUUGUUGAAGACAUCAUGUCUGAAAACAGCAAACUUUGCGACUUCUCGAGCACUAAUAAUAAUGAUUUUAUUAGUACUCCGAUUGCUCCCGCCACUAGUGCGGAAUCGUAUGAAAUCAACGCNNNNNNNNNNNNNNNNNNNNNNNNNNNNNNNNNNNNNNNNNNNNNNNNNNNNNNNNNNNNNNNNNNNNNNNNNNNNNNNNNNNNNNNNNNNNNNNNNNNNCACUUACCAAAGGCGCUUCGCUCCCCGGCAACGACGCCAGAAAAGAGUCUUGAUGACCCAAAAGUAUAGGGGAUCAAUCGUAGUCCUUUCGAUAAGUAAGAGUGUCGAACCUAACGAGGAGCAGAAGGCUCUGAUAAACGGAUUUCAGCAAGGUAAUAACUGCAAGCACUGAAAGUAGCGGUAACAAGUGAUUGUGNNNNNNNNNNCAACAAGGAGAAGAAGGCUCUAAUAAACGGAUUUCAACAAGGUAAUAACUGCAAGCACUGAAAGUAGCGGUAACAAGUGAUUGUGUAGCGAGGUGAAACAUAGCAAGCAAAACGUAACAAGUAACAAGUAGUAGCAAUGCUGCAGCAAGUGGCCCAAUCCCUUUUGCAGCAAGGGACAAGCCUGAACAAAGUCUUAUAGGAGGAAAAACGCUCCCGAGGACACACGGGAAUUUCUGUCAUGCUAGUUUCAUCANNNNNNNNNNGCCCAAUCCCUUUUGUAGCAAGGGACAAGCCUGGACAAAGUCGUAUAGGACGAAAAACACUCCCGAGGACACACGGGAAUUUCUGCCAUGCUAGUUUCAUCACGUUCAUAUGAUUCGCGUUCGUUACUUUGAUAGUUUGAUAUGUGGGUGGACCAGCGCUUGGGUACUGCCCGUACUUGGACAAGCAUCCCACUUAUGAUUAACCCCUCUCGCAAGCNNNNNNNNNNUCACUUAUUACCGACAAUUUCAGUGCUUGCUGAAAACCACUUGUCAGAUCCUUCUGCUCCUCGUUUGGUUCGACACUCUUACUUAUCGAAAGGACUACGAUUGAUCCCCUAUACNNNNNNNNNNACCUUACUUGGAUAAGCAUCCCACUUAUGAUUAACCUCUCUCGCAAGCAUCCGCAACUACAAAACAAGAAUUAAGACAAAGUCUAACCAUAGCAUUAAACUAGUGGAUCCAAAUCAGCCCCUGACGAAGCAACGCAUAGACUGUGGGUCAUCAAGACUCUUUUCUGGCGCCGUUGCCCGGGAGUGAAGCGCCUUUGGUAAGUGGAACUUGGUAAGGAAACAUUCAUAUAGUGUGCUGAAAUUUANNNNNNNNNNGCUCGUUCGGGGUAUCUUCACCUCGAACGGAAGCACAAAUAGUUUCUCCUCAACCUGCUGCACCUACUGAAAAUAUUUGCUUUGAAUUUCCUUCGGGUAUGCUUGAGAAACUGUUGGCUAAUCCUUUUACACGAGAUGGAACAUCACAUCCAGACUUGCAUCUAAUCUAUGUAGAUGAAGUUUGUGGUUUAUUUAAGCUUGCAGGUUUGCNNNNNNNNNNNNNNNNNNNNNNNNNNNNNNNNNNNNNNNNNNNNNNNNNNNNNNNNNNNNNNNNNNNNNNNNNNNNNNNNNNNNNNNNNNNNNNNNNNNNAGUAAAGAGACUUGCCGUUAAACGAGGUUGAAAUAGGUAUACGGAUACUGACGAUCGAAUCUCGGGCAAGUAACAUACCGAAGGACAAAGGGAAUGACAUACGGGAUUAUACGAAUCCUUGGCACUGAGGUUCAAACGAUAAGAUCUUCGUAGAAUAUGUAGGAUCCAAUAUGGGCAUCCAGGUCCCGCUGUUGGAUAUUGACCGAGGAGUCUCUCGGGUCAUGUCUACAUAGUUCUCGAACCCGCAGGGUCUGCACACUUAAGGUUCGACGUUGUUUUAUGCGUAUUUGAGUUAUAUGGUUGGUUACCGAAUGUUGUUCGGAGUCCCGGAUGAGAUCACGGACGUCACGAGGGUUUUCGGAAUAGUCCGGAAACGAAGAUUGAUAUAUAGGAUGACCUCAUUUGAUUACCGGAAGGUUUUCGGAGUUACCGGGAAUGUACCGGGAAUGACGAAUGGGUUCCGGGAGUUCACCGGAGGGGGGCAACCCACUCCGGGGAAGCCCAUAGGCAUUUGGGGGGGGGGUCACACCAGCCCUUAGUGGGCUGGUGGGACAGCCCACCAAUCCCCUAUGCGCCAAGAGAGAAAAAAUCAAAGGAAAGAAAAAAAAAGGAAGAAGUGGGAAGGGGGAAGGACUCCCUCCCACCAAACCAAGUAGGACUCGGUUUGGGGGGGGAGAGUCCUCCCCCCUGGCUCGGCCGACCCCUUGGGGAUCCCUUGGACCCCAAGGCAAGGUCCCCCUCCCUCCUCCUAUAUAUAUGGGGCUUUUAGGGCAGAUUUGAGACGACUUUCUCACGGCUGCCCGACCACAUACCUCCAUAGUUUUUCCUCUAGAUCGUGUUUCUACGGAGCUCGGGCGGAGCCCUGCUGAGACAAGAUCAUCACCAACCUCCGGAGCGCCGUCACGCUGCCGGAGAACUCUUCUACCUCUCCGUCUCUCUUGCUGGAUCAAGAUGGCCGAGAUCAUCGUCGAGCUGUACGUGUGCUGAACGCGGAGGUGCCGUCCGUUCGGUACUAGAUCGUGGGACUGAUCGCGGGAUUGUUCGCGGGGCGGAUCGAGGGACGUGAGGACGUUCCACUACAUCAACCGCGUUCUCUAACGCUUCUGCUGUACGAUCUACAAGGGUACGUAGAUCACUCAUCCCCUCUCGUAGAUGGACAUCACCAUGAUAGGUCUUCGUGCGCGUAGGAAAUUUUUUGUUUCCCAUGCGACGUUCCCCAUCAAAUAUUACCUAUUCUUUGACAUUUGUCACAAGACAAGACAAACUUACGGGCAUCCUCAAAGAGAGUGGGCCAAUAGAAACCUGAUUGCAAUACCUCGUGCGCAGUUCUAUCUCACGCAUGGUGUCCUCUAUAGGCCUCGGAGUGACACUUCUGUAGGAUCUGUCCCUGUUCAUGUUCACGUACACAACGUCUAAUAACACCAUCUACUCCUUCCUUAUAAAGGUGAGGGUCAUCCCAAAAGUAGUGUCUCAAGUCAAAGAAGAGUUUCUUCUUUUGCUGGUACGUGAAACUAGGUGGUAUAUAUUUGGCAACGAUAUAGUUUGCAUAAUCAGCAUACCACGGUGCACUACGUGAAGCAUUGAUGACAUUCAAUUGCUCAUCGGGAAAGCUAUCAUCAAUAGAUUGUGGGUCAUCAAGAACGUUCUCCAACCUAGACAAGUUAUCCGCUACUGGGUUAUCAACACCCAUUCUAUCAACAACGUGCAGAUCAAAUUCUUGUAGCAAGAGAACCCAUCUGAUAAGUCUAGGUUUAGCGUCCUUCUUCUCCAUGGGUACUUAAUAGCAGCAUGAUCAGUGUGUAUAGUGACUUGGGAAUCAACUAUGUAAGACCUGAACUUUUCACAUGCAAAGACGACUGCUAAAAAUUCCUUCUCCGUAGUAGCAUAGUUUCUCUGGGCACUGUCUAGAGUUUUACUAGCAUAGUGAAUAACAUUUAACUUCUUAUCAACUCUUUGCCCUAGAACAACACCAACAGCAUAAUCACUAGCAUCACACAUGAUCUCAAAAGGUAGGUUCCAAUCAGGUGGUUGAACAAUAGGUGCAGUUAUCAAAGCCCUCUUAAGUAUUUCGAAGGCUUCCUCACAAUCAUCGUCAAAGACAAAAGGAAUGUCCUUUUGCAAGAGAUUGGUAAGAGGCCUAGAAAUCUUAGAGAAGUCUUUAAUGAACCUUCUAUAGAAACCAGCAUGACCAAGGAAACUUCUUAUACCUUUUAUAUCUGUGGGGUAUUGCAUUUUCUCGAUUGCAUCAACCUUAGCCUUAUCGACUUCAAUACCUAUUUCAGAAAUUUUAUGUCCAAAGACGAUGCCUUCAUUAACCAUAAAUUGGCACUUCUCCCAAUUCAAGACAAGAUUGGUGUCUUUACAUCUCUGCAAGACUCGAUCGAGGUUGCUUAGGCAAUCAUCAAAGGAAGACCCGUAAAUGGAGAAGUCAUCCAUGAAAACCUCAAUAAUCUUUUCACAAAAAUCAGAGAAUAUAGCCAUCAUACAUCUUUGAAAGGUGGCAGGUGCAUUACAUAAGCCAAAAGGCAUACGUCUAUAGGCAAAGGUACCGAAAGGGCAGGUGAAAGUGGUUUUCUCUUGAUCAAAUUGUGCAACUGGUAUUUGGGAGAAACCAGAAUAACCGUCUAGAAAGCAGAAGUGUGUGUGUUUGGAUAGUCUUUCUAGCAUUUGGUCGAUAAAAGGCACAGGGUAAUGAUCUUUCCUAGGGGCCUUAUUCAACUUCCUAAAAUCAAUCACCAUCCUAUAGCCAGUAAUAAUCCUUUGUGGGAUCAACUCAUCCUUGUCAUUAGGGACAACGGUGAUGCCUCCCUUCUUAGGAACGCAAUGCACCGGACUCACCCAAUCGCUAUGAGCAACAGGAUAGAUAAUACCCGCUUGCAGGAGCUUUAGUAUUUCUUUUCUUACUACUUCUUUCAUCUUAGGAUUCAAUCUCCUUUGAUGAUCAGCAACUGGUUUGAAUUCAGGAUCAGUUUUGAUCUUGUGCUGGCAUAGAGUGGGACUAAUGCCCUUAAGAUCAUCAAGAGUAUAUCCUAUAGCAGCACGGUGCUUCCUGAGAGUUUUUAGUAACUUCUUUUCUUCAUGCUCCGAGAGGCUAGUGAUGACCCACAAGUAUAGGGAUCAAUCGUAGUCCUUUCGAUAAGUACGAGUGUCGAACCCAACAAGGAGCAGAAGGCUCUGAUAAACGGAUUUUAGCAAGGUAAUAACUACAAGCACUGAAAGUAGCGGUAACAAGUGAUUGUGUAGCGAGGUGAAACGUAGCAAGCAAAAAGUAACAAGUAACAAGUAGUAGCAACGGUGCAGCAAGUGGCCCAAUCCCUUUUGUAGCAAGGGACAAGCCUGAACAAAGUCUUAUAGGAGGAAAAACGCUCCCGAGGACACACGGGAAUUUAUGUCAUGCUAGUUUGAUCAUGUUCAUAUGAUUUGCGUUCGUUACUUUGAUAGUUUGAUAUGUGGGUGGACCGACGCUUGGGUACUACCCUUACUUGGAUAAGCAUCCCACUUAUGAUUAACCUCUCUCACAAGCAUCCACAACUACAAAAGAAGAAUUAAGACAAAGUCUAACCAUAGCAUUAAACUAGUGGAUCCAAAUCAGCCCCUCACGAAGCAACGCAUAGACUGGGGUUUAAGCUUCUGUCACUCCAGCAACCCAUCAUCUACUUACUACUUCCCAAUGCCUUCCUCUAGGCCCAAAUAUGGUGAAGUGUUAUGUAGUCGAUGUUCACAUAACACCACUAGAGGAAAAGACAACAUACAACAUAUCAAAAUACCGAACGAAUAUCAAAUUCACAUGACUAUUAUCAGCAUGACUUAUCCCAUGUCCUCAGGAACAAAAGUAACUACUCACAAAGCAUAAUCAUAAUCAUGAUCAGAGGUGUAAUGAAUAGAAUCAAGGAUCUGAACAUAAACUCUUCCACCAAGUAAUCCAACUAGCAUCAACUACAAAGAGUAAUCAACACUACUAGCAACCUUACAAGUACCAAUCGGAGUUGUGAGACGAAGAUUGGUUACAAGAGAUGAACUAGGGAUUAGAGAGGAGAUGGUGCUGAUGAAGAUGUUGAUGAAGAUGCCUCCCCUCCGACGAGAGGAGUGUUGUUGAUGACGAUGGCGACGAUUUCCCCCUCCAGGAGGGAAGUUUUCCCGACAGGUUCGUCCUGCCGGAGCUCUAGAUUGGAUUUGCUCAAGUUUCGCCUCGUGGCGGCGGCGAAACCACGAAAAAGCUCCAGAAUGAUUUUUUCUGGACCAAAACUCUUCAUAUAGCAAAAUAGGGUGGCUAGUAGGCCGUCAGGGAGCCCACAAGCCCCCACUCCGCCACGAGGGGGUGGCGGUGGCAGGGCUUGUGGUGCCCUGGCAGCCCCCCUCCGGUACUUCUUUCGCCCAAUAUUUUUUAUAUAAUCCCAAAAAAUCCACGUAACUUUUCACGGCAUUUGGAGAUGUGCAGAAUAGUGGGCUAAGAUUUGCUCCUUUUCCAGUCGAGAAUUCCAGCUGUCUGAAUUCUCCCUCUUCAAAUAAACCUUGCAAAAUAAGAGAGAAAAGGCAUAAAUAUGGUACCACAAAGUAAUAUAAAAGCCCAUAAAGCAAUAAAUAUCAACAUGAAAGCAUGAUGCAAAAUGGACGUAUCAACUCCCCCAAGCUUAGACCUCGCUUGUCCUCAAGCGAAAACCAAGUUCCAUAAACAUGUCCACAUGUUUAGGGACGAAGGUGUCGAUAAAACAUAAUACGAACAUGAGGGCAUCAUGAUCACACAUAGAACAACAAUACAUCAUAAAGAUUCUUAUGGGAAAGUAACAAUUCCUUCACAAAGCAAAGCAUGAAGCAAAAAACCUUACCGAGAAGUAACCAACAAUAAUCCAUAGUCAUUGAAGCAAUUGCAAUUUAUCACAACAUCAGAAAGAGUCAAAUAAGAGCUUGUAAGGCAAAUCCACAUACUCAAUCAUAUCUUUUGUUUUCCACAAUUGUUACAACUCACGUGGUACUCAUGGUGUCGAAGUUUCAGCUGGACACAGAGGAAGAUAGGGGCUUAUAGUUUUGCCUCCCAACGGUUUACCUCAAGGGUAAAGUCAACAACAAUAAAGCAUAAGUACUCAACUCCAAGUUGAUAUAUGAAUAUAUAUCUUUCCCAAACAUGCGACGGUAGCCAAGACAAAGGCAAAAAUAGGGAAUUCGUGAAGAUCACCAUGACUCUUACAAGGGCAAAAAGUAAAGGUACAAGAUAGGCCCUUCGCAGAGGGAAGUAGAGGUUGUCAUGCGCUUUUGAGGUUUUGAAUGUGUGUCCUCUUAGUGCGGAGGAACGUCACUUUAUAUUGCCUCCUGUGAUAAAGAACUUUAUUAUGCAAUCUGUCGCUUUUAUGUCUUCCUCAUCACAGGUUUGUACAAAGCUUAUUUUCCACACACUAAUAGAUCAUACAUAUUAGAGAGCAAUUUUUAUUGCUCGCACCGAUGACAACUUACUUGAAGGAUCUUAUUCAAUCCAUAGGUAGGUAUGGUGGACUCUCAUGGCAAAACUGGGUUGGAGGUUUAUGGAUGCACAAGUAGUAUCUCUACUUGGUGCGGGAGUUUUGGCUAAUAUGAGGUGGAAGCAAUCGUCACAUGCUAAGGGAUCUCUAAUCAUAUAACAUUGUUUGGAACCAAACAAACACAAUUCAUUAUGUUGUCUUCCUUGUCCAACAUCUACUCCUAAGCAUGUAAUAGUUUGGUGAGUGCUCACAAUUGUAAAAAGUGCCUAAGAUGAUAUAUUUAUAUGUGAACCUCUCUUUCCUUAUUACUUCUUAUUAAUUGCAACAAUGACUGGGGUCUGUGUUGAUUUAUUCUCAACAAGUUUCAAUCAUCAUACGUGUCAUAAGUGAAGUUAUUACUUUUCAUAAGAUCGUCUCAUGAUCUUUCAUGCUAUCGUUCUUUUCAUACUUUUGAUCAUGGCACAAAGCAAAGCCCUUGACUAAGAUACUCUUUAUUAUAUAGCUCGCGAGCUCGAAUACAUCAGGGGAGAGGCAAAAGCAAAAGACUCAAACUAAAAACUAAAGACUUAUUCCUCUAAGAGAAGAAAUAAAAAACUGAAAAGGAAAGAACUAAAACAAAGGUAAAAGCAAAAGAUAUAAAGGUGAUACGAUACCAGGGCAACUCCCCAAGCUUGGCAGAAGCCAAGGGGAUUGCCCAUACCAAUGCUUAGUUGUCUUCCUUUGGUGGUGAAGGUGGUGAAGUUGUUGGAGUAGUCUGAUCCUCCGUCUUCCAAGGCAUAGGUGCUCCAUCAUGGCAUGAUGAACGAGUCGCCGGAAUCCUCAAAUCUGCACCCAACCUUAUUGAUUUAAAUCUGUACUCAUACUCACAGUUUUGGUUCUGCAGGUCAUAGAUCUAGCCCUGAAGUUGAUCAACCCUGUCAUAGAGCCUGGCGAGGUGUUUCCCAAUGUCAAUGGCAUCCAUCUUGUGAUUGUUGGUGAACUCCGUGAUCAUCGUGUGGUUGGCAUUGAGUCCACGCUCCACCAUCCCUUGGCACUUCAAGACUUUUUGCUCCAUUGCUUUGAGCCUCGUCUCCACGCUUCCGGUCUUCUUAGGCCCCUCAACAUCACAGAUGUGCAACAUCCCCUCGCUCAUCUUGAUAGAUUGAGGGUGUUUCAACACUUCCCUGAGGUAGGGAUUGAUGACCUUCUCGAAGAUCUUGUCCUUAGGAGCGCUUAGGGAAGUCAUGAUGAUCUAGAUCUGUCACAGAAACAGGCUCGAAACGAAAACAGAGGAAAACUGCACGACACGGAGAUCAAAACCUUCGGGCUAGUAUAUAUUGAUUUUUUUUCUGGACCAGAAGGAGUGCUCCCCAAGAAAAUGAGAGUCCGGGAGGCACACGAGGUGCCCACAAGCUUGCCCUCCGCCACCAGGGGGUAGGGGCGGUGGCAGGCCUUGUGGCCGCCUCGUGUGCUCUCCGGACUGCUUUUUAUUUUCUAAUUUUCCAAAAAUUCCAAAACGGAGGAAAUUUCCUAUUGGGAAAGUGUCGGAGUCCAAUUUCUUACCGAAACAGAUACCUCUUCGUUUUCACGGUCUGAAACAGGCUGAUAAACAUCCCUUAUGUACUACUCUAGAGUUAUGACAUUGAUGAUAUUAGUCUCAACAUUUAUGGGAGUAUGAAAGAUGUAAUGCUUGAUUCUUUGCCCAUUUACCACUCUAGAAAAUUUCCUUCCGUGUUAUUGAUUUUGAUGGCACCGGAACGAUAUACUUCCUCGAUAACAUAGGGACCUUCCCAUUUAGAGAAAAGCUUGCCUGCAAAGAAUCUCAAACGAGAAUUGUAUAGAAAGACAUAAUCACCUACAUUGAACUCUCGUUUCUGUAUUCGUUUGUCGUGCCAUCUCUUAACCUUUUCCUUGAACAACUUGGCAUUCUCAUAUGCCUGGGCCCUCCAUUCAUCUAACGAGCUGAUAUCAAACAACCGCUUCUCACCGGCAAGUUUGAAAUCAAAGUUGAGCUCUUUGAUUGCCCAAUAAGCUUUGUGUUCCAGCUCAAGAGGUAAAUGACAGGCCUUACCGUAAACCCUUUUAUACGGUGACAUGCCCAUGGGAUUCUUAUAAGCAGUCCUAUAAGCCCAUAGUGCAUCGUCAAGUUUGCUAGACCAGUUCUUUCGAGAUCUAUUGUCGGUCUUUUGUAGGAUCAACUUAUCUCCCUAUUACUCAACUCCACUUGACCACUAGACUAAGGAUGAUAAGGGAUGCAACUCUAUGGUUGACAUCAUACUUAGCGAGCAUCUUGCGGAAAACACCAUGAAUGAAGUGUGAACCGCCAUCGGUCAUCAGAUAUCUAGGGACUCCAAAUCUUGGGAAAAUGACUUCUUUAAGCAUCUUAAUAGAGGUGUGGUGAUCAGCAUUUUUAGUGGGGAUAGCUUCUACCCACUUAGUGACGUAAUCCACAGCAACUAAGAUGUGAGUGUACCCAUUGGAACUCGGGAAGGGUCCCAUAUAAUCAAAGCCCCAGACAUCAAAUGGUUCAAUGACAAGUGAAUAGUUCAUAGGCAUUUUCUAACGCUUACUGAUGUUCCCUAUUCUUUGGCAUUCGUCACAAGACAAGACAAACUUACGGGCAUCCUUGAAGAGAGUGGGCCAAUAGAAACCUGAUUGCAAUACCUUAUGGGCAGUUCUAUCUCCAGCAUGGUGUCCUCCACAGGCUUCGGAAUGACACUUCUGCAAGAUCUGUCUCUGUUCAUGUUCAGGCACACAACGUCUAAUAACACCAUCUACUCCUUCCUUAUAAAGGUGAGGAUCAUCUCAAAAGUAGUGUCUCAAAUCAAAGAAGAAUUUCUUCUUUCGCUGAUAGGUGAAACUAGGUGGUAUGUAUUUGGCUACGAUAUGAUUUGCAUAAUCGGCAUACCACAGUGCACUAUGUGAAGUGCGGAUGACAUUUAAUUGCUCAUCAGGAAAGCUGUCAUCAAUAGGUAGUGGGUCAUCAAGGACAUUCUCUAGCCUAGACAAGUUAUCUGCUACAGGGUUAUCAGCACCCUUUCGGUCAACGACGUGCAAAUCAAAUUCCUGUAGCAGGAGAACCCAUCUGAUCAGCCUAGGCUUAGCGUCCUUCUUCUCCAUAAGGUACUUAAUAGCAGCAUGAUCAGAGUGAAUAGUGACUUUGGAGUCAACUAUAUAAGAUCUGAACUUUUCACAUGCAAACACGAGUGCUAAAAAUUCCUUCUCCAUAGUGGCAUAGUUUCUUUGGGCACUAUCUAGAGUUGUACUAGCGUAGAACUUCUUGUCAACUCUUUGUCCUAGAACAUCACCAACAGCAUAAUCACUAGCAUCGCACAUGAUUUCAAAGGGCAAGUUCCAGUCAGAUGGUUGAACAAUAGGUGCCGUUAUCAAAGCCUUCUUAAGUAUUUUGAAAGCUUCCUCACAAUCCUCAUCAAAAACAAAAGGAACAUCCUUCUGCAAGAGGUUGGUAAGAGGCCUAGAGAUCUUAGAGAAGUCUUUAAUGAACCUUCUAUAGAAACCGGCAUGACCUAGGAAACUUCGUAUACCUCUGAUAUCUGUGGGGCAAGGCAUUUUCUCAAUUGCAUCAACCUUAGCCUUAUCAACUUCAAUGCCUCUCUCAGAAAUUUUGUGUCCUAAGACGAUACAUUCAUUAACCAUAAAGUGGCACUUCUCCCAAUUCAAGACGAGGUUGGUAUCUUUGCAUCUCUGUAAGACUCGAUCAAGGUUGCUGAGGCAAUCAUCAAAGGAAGACCCGUAAACGGAGAAGUCAUCCAUGAAAACCUCGACAAUCUUUUCACAAAAGUCAGAGAAUAUAGCCAUCAUACAUCUUUGGAAGGUGGCAGGUGCAUUGCAUAAGCCAAAAGGCAUACGUCUAUAAGCAAAGGUACCGAAGGGGCAGGUGAAAGUGGUUUUCUCCUGAUCAGAUUGCGCAACAGGUAUUUGCGAUAAACCUGAAUAACCGUCUAGAAAGCAGAAGUGUGUGUGUUUUGAUAGCCUUUCUAGCAUUUGGUCGAUAAACGGCAAAGGAUGAUGAUCUUUCCUAGUUGCCUUGUUAAGUUUCCGGAAGUCUAUCACCAUCUUAUAGCCGGUAAUAAUCCUUUGUGGGAUUAGUUCAUCCUUAUCAUUAGGAACGACGGUGAGACCUCCCUUCUUAGGUACGCAAUGUACUGGACUUACCCAAUCACUAUGAGCAACAGGAUAAAUGAUUCCUGCUUCCAGAAGCUUUAAUAUUUAUUUUCUAAUGACCUCUUUCAUCUUAGGAUUUAAUCUCCUUUGAUGAUCAGCAACUGGUUUAAAGUCAGGAUCGGUUUUAAUCUUGUGCUGACAUAGAGUAGGACUAAUACCCUUAAGAUCAUCAAGAGUAUAUCCAAUAACAGCACAGUGCUUCCCCAGAGUUCUUAGUAACUUCUUCUCUUCGUGCUUUGAGAGGAGGGCACUAAUAAUGACAUGAUAUAUCUCCUUCUCAUCAAGAUGGGCAUACUUAAGAGUAUCAGGCAACUGUUUAAUCUCGAACACAGGAUCACCCUUUGGUGGGGGAGGAUCCCCAAGCAGUUCAACAGGCAGAUUAUUCUUGAGAAUAGGAUAUUGUUCUAAGACAAUUUGAUCUAUCUCAUCUCUCUCCUCCAUAUGCAUAUCAUUUUCAUGCUCAAGAAGAUAUUGCUCUAAAGGAUUCGUAGGAGGUACGGCAAUAGAUGCAAGAGCAAUGAUUUCAUCCCUACCAGACGACUCUCUUUCAUGGGGUUGUCUUCCAAACUUGGAGAAGUUAAAUUCAUGAGACACACCCUCGAAACUAACUGUGACGGUCUGCUUAAUGCAAUCAAUGUGAGCAUUGACAGUGUUGAGAAAGGGUCUACCAAAUAUGAUGGGACAAAAGCUAUCUUGUGCAGUACCAAGGACGAGGAAAUCAGUAGGAUACUUCGUCUUACCACACAGGACUUCUACGUCUCUCACAAUUCCCAGAGGGCAGAUAGUGUCUCUAUUAGCUAGCGUGAUAGUGACAUCAAUGGGUUCUAGCUCAACAGGUGCAAUCUCAUCUUUGAUUUCAUCAUAUAGAGAAUGGGGUAUUGCACGAACACUAGCUCCCAUAUCACAUAAACCAUGGUAACAGUGAUCUCCUAUCUUGACAGAAACAACGGGCAGGCCAACUACAGGUCCGUGUUUGUCUUUCGCGUGAGGUUUCUAGUGGAGUCCUCACGGAAUUUGAUAACAUGCCCAUCUAUGUCUUCGGCUAAGAGAUCUUUGAUAAUAGCAACACUAGGCUCAACUCUAAUCUCCUCAGGGGGUGCAAGUGGUCUAAUGUAACCCCUACGUAUCACAGUUGGAGCUUUAGAAUAAUCCUUUAUCCUAGCAGGGUAUGGUGGUUUCUCAGUGUAAGCACAAGGAAGAACAGGAUCACUAAAAGCAAUGACUUUCUCCUCAACUAGAUUGGUUUUGGCUAUGUUGCUUUGUACAGGAGGAUGAUAUUUAAACCACUUCUCUUUGGGAAUAUCAACAUGAGCAGCAAAAGAUUCACAUAGAGAAGCUACUAUCUCAGAGUUAAGUCCAUACUUAGCGCUAAAAUCUCUAGAAGUGUUUGUCUCAACAAAAGAUUUAACGCAAUCAAACUGGAAAUUCAUACGUCACUCCUUACCUUCCUCCAGCUCUCAAUCUUCAGAGUUGCAUUUGAUUCUCUCCAAUAAAUUCCACUUGUGAUCAAUAUCCUUCUUCAUAAAAGAACCGGUACAAUAAGUGUCAAGCAUGGUACGAUCUUCAUGAGAAAGCCGAGCAUAAAAGUUUUGAGUGAUGAUUUCUCUCGAGAGCUCAUGAUUGGGGCAUGAAUAUAGCAUUGAUUUAAGCCUCCCCCAAGCUUGAGCUAUGCUUUCCCUGUCACGAGGCCAAAAGUUAUAAAUAAAGUUCCGAUCACGAUGUACUAAAUGCAUAGGAUAGAACUUUUGAUGAAAUUCCAAUUUCAACCGAUUGUAGCCCCAUGAUCCAGUAUCAUCACAUAGCCUAUACCAUGUCAACGCCUUAUCCUUCAAAGAUAAAGGAAAGACUUUCUUCUUUACCUCAUCCUCGGGCAAACCUGCAAGCUUAAAUAAACGAUAAACUUCAUCUACAUAGAUUAGAUGCAAGUCUGGAUGUGAAGAUCCAUCUCCUGUAAAAGGAUUAGCCGCCAGUUUCUCAAGCAUACCCGAAGGAAUUUCAUAAAAGAUAUUUUCAGUAGGUACCUCAGGUUGAGGAACAACUCCUCGUGCUUCCGUUCGUGGUGAAGAUACCCCGAACAAACUCCUCAAAGGAAGAGUUUCCAUAGUGACAAGUGACAAUAAAUUUCAGCACAGUAUAUAAAUGUUUCCUUACCAAUUUCCACUUACCAAAGGCGCUUCGCUCCCCGGCAACGACGCCAGAAAAGAGUCUUGAUGACCCAAAAGUAUAGGGGAUCAAUCGUAGUCCUUUCGAUAAGUAAGAGUGUCGAACCUAACGAGGAGCAGAAGGCUCUGAUAAACGGAUUUCAGCAAGGUAAUAACUGCAAGCACUGAAAGUAGCGGUAACAAGUGAUUGUGUAGCGAGGUGAAACGUAGCAAGCCAAAAGUAACAAGUAACAAGUAGUAGCAACGGUGCAGCAAGUGGCCCAAUCCCUUUUGUAGCAAGGGACAAGCCUGAACAAAGUCUUAUAGGAGGAAAAACGCUCCCGAGGACACACGGGAAUUUCUGUCAUGCGAGUUUCAUCAUGUUCAUAUGAUUUGCGUUCGUUACUUUGAUAGUUUGAUAUGUGGGUGGACCGGCGCUUGGGUACUUCCCUUACUUGGACAAGCAUCCCACUUAUGAUUAACCUCUCUGGCAAGCAUCCGCAACUACAAAAGAAGAAUUAAGACAAAGUCUAACCAUAGCAUUAAACUAGUGGAUCCAAAUCAGCCCCUCACGAAGCAACGCAUAGACUGGGGUUUAAGCUUCUGUCACUCCAGCAACCCAUCAUCUACUUACUACUUCCCAAUGCCUUCCUCUAGGCCCAAAUAUGGUGAAGUGUUAUGUAGUCGACGUUCACAUAACACCACUAGAGGAAAAGACAACAUACAACAUAUCAAAAUACCGAACGAAUAUCAAAUUCACAUGACUAUUAUCAGCAUGACUUAUCCCAUGUCCUCAGGAACAAAAGUAACUACUCACAAAGCAUAAUCAUAAUCAUGAUCAGAGGUUUAAUGAAUAGCAUCAAGGAUCUGAACAUAAACUCUUCCACCAAGUAAUCCAACUAGCAUCAACUACAAAGAGUAAUCAACACUACUAGCAACCUUACAAGUACCAAUUGGAGUUGCGAGACGAAAAUUGGUUACAAGAUAUGAACUAGGUAUUGGAGAGGAGAUGGUGCUGAUGAAGAUGUUGAUGAAGAUGCCUCCCCUCCGACGAGAGGAGUGUUGGUGAUGACGAUGGCGACGAUUUCCCCCUCCGGGAGGAAAGUUUCCCCGACAGGAUUGUCCUGCCGGAGCUCUAGAUUGGAUCCGCUCAAGUUCCACCUCGUGGCGGUGGCGAAACCACGAAAAAGUUCCCGAAUGAUUUUUUCUGGACCAAAACCCUUCAUAUAGCAAAAGAGGGGGGCUAGUGGGCCGUCAGGGAGCCCACAAGCCCCCACUCCGCCACCAAUGGGUGGCGGUGGCAGGGCUUGUGGCGCCCUGGCAGCCCCCUCCGGUACUUCUUUCUCCCAGUAUUUUUUAUAUAAUCCCAAAAAAAUCCACGUAACUUUUCAGGGCAUUUGGAGAUGUGCAGUAUAGUGGACUAAGAUUUGCUCCUUUCAGAGUCCAGAAUUCCAGCUGCCUGAAUUCUCCCUCUUCAAAUAAACCUUGCAAAAUAAGAGAGAAAGGGCUUAAAUAUGGUACCACAAAGUAAUAUAACAGCCCACAAAGCAAUAAAUAUCAACAUGAAAGCAUGAUGCAAAAUGGACGUAUCAGCUAGCACUAAUAAUAACAGGAUAUAUCUCUUUUUCAUCAAGAUUGGCAUACUUAAGAGUAUCAGGCAACUGUUUAAGUUCGAACACAGGAUCACCCUUUGGUGGGGGUGUAUCCCCGAGCAGUUCAACAGGCAGAUUAUUCUUAAGGAUAGGAUAUUGUUCUAAGACAACUCUAUCUAUUUCAUCCCUUUCAUCCAUAUGCAUAUCAUUUUCAUGCUCAAGCAAGUAUUGCUCUAAGGGAUCAGUAGGAGGUACGACAAUAGAAGCUAAGGCAAUAGUUUCAUCCCCACUAGGAAACUCCUUUUCAUGAGGUUGUCUACCAAACUUAGAGAAAUUGAACUCAUGUGACACACCUUCAAAGCCAACAGUGACAGUUUGCUUCCCACAAUCAAUAUGAGCAUUAACAGUAUUGAGAAAAGGUCUACCAAAUAUGAUGGGACAGAAGCUAUCUUGAGCGGUAGCAAGAACGAGGAAAUCAGCAGGAUACUUCGUUUUACCACAUAAGACUUCAACAUCCCUAACAAUUCCACAGGGCAAAUAGUAUCUCUAUUGGCAAGCUGAAUAGUGACAUCAAUAGGCUCUAUCUCAACAGGUGCAAUCUCAUCUUUGAUUUCAUCGUAUAAGGAUUGAGGUAUUGCACUAACACUAGCACCCAAGUCACAUAAACCAUAAUAACAAUGAUCUCCUAUCUUAACAGAAACCACACGCAUGCCAACGAUAGGCCUAUGUUUGUCUCUAGCAUGAGGUUUAGCAAUUCUAGCAGCAUCUUCACAAAAGUAAAUAUUAUGUUCCUCAACUUCUUCAGACAUAAGAUCUUUGAUAAUAGCAAUGCUAGGUUCAACUCUAAUUUGCUCAGAGGGUGUAGGUGUUCUAAUAUAGCCUCUACAUAUCACAGUUGAAGCUUUAGAAUGAUCCUUUAUCCUAACAGGGAAAGGUGGUUUCUCAAUGUAAGCACUGGGUACCAAAGGAUCAUUAUAGGCAAUGACUUUCUCUUCAACUGGAGUGGGUUUAACUACAUUGACUUCUAAAGGAGGAUGAAAUUUAAACCACUUCUCUUUGUGGAGAUCAAUAUGACCAGCAAAGGAUUCACACAGUGAAGCUACUAUCUCAGAGUCAAGUCCAUACUUAGCGCUAAAAUCACAAAAAGUAUUUGUCUCAACAAAGGAUUUAACGCAAUCAAAAGUGAAAUUCAUACCUGACUCCUUACCUUCUUCAAGCUCCCAAUCUUCAGAGUUGCGUUUAAUUCUCUCUAAUUAAUUCCAUUUGAAGUCAAUAUCUCUCUUCAUAAAAGAACCGGUACAAGAAGUGUCAAGCAUGGUGCGAUCAUCAUGAGAAAGCCGAGCAUAGAAGUUCUGAAUGAUAAUUUCUCUCGAGAGCUCAUGAUUGGGGCAUGAAUAUAGCAUUGAUUUAAGCAUCCCCCAAGCUUGAGCGAUGCUUUCUCUGUCACGAGGCCAAAAAUUAUAAAUAUAAUUCCGAUCACGAUGUACUAAAUGCAUAGGAUAAAACUUUUGAUGAAAUUCCAAUUUCAACCGAUUGUAGUCCCAUGAUCCAGUAUCAUCACAUAGCCUAUACCAUGUCAAUGCCUUAUCCUUCAAAGAUAAAGGAAAGACCUUGUUCUUGACCUCAUCCUCGGGCACACCUGUAAGCUUAAAUAAACCACAAACCUCAUCUACAUAGAUCAGAUGCAAGUCUGGAUGUGAUGUUCCAUCUCCUGUAAAAGGAUUAGCCAGCAAUUUCUCAAGCAUACCCGAAGGAAAUUCAAAGCAAAUAUUUUCAGUAGGUGCAGCAGGUUGAGGAGCAACUCUUUGUGCUUCCCUUCAAGGUGAAGAUACCCCGAACGAGACCCUCAAAGGAUUAGUAUCCAUAGUGACAAGUGACAACAAAUUUCAGCACACUAUAUGAAUGUUUCCUUACCAAGUUCCACUUACCAAAGGCGCUUCACUCCCCGACAAUGGCGCCAGAAAAGAGUCUUGAUGACCCACAAGUAUAGGGGAUCAAUCGUAGUCCUUUCGAUAAGUAAGAGUGUCGAACCAAACGAGGAGCAGAAGGAUCUGACAAGUGGUUUUCAGCAAGCACUGAAAUUGUCGGUAAUAAGUGAUUGUGUGGUGAGAUGAUUCGUAGCAAGCAACAAGUAACAAAAGUAGCAACGGUGCAGCAAAGUGGCCCAAUCCCUUUUAUAGCAAGGGACAAGCCUCGACAAAGUCUUAUAGGAGGAAGAACACUCCCGAGGACACACGGGAAUUUCUGUCAUGCUAGUUUCAUCAUGUUCAUAUGAUUCGCGUUCGUUACUUUGAUAGUUCGAUAUGUGGGUGGAACGGCGCUUGGGUACUGCCCUUACUUGGACAAGCAUCCCACUUAUGAUUAACCCCUCUCGCAAGCAUCCGCAACUACGAAAGAAGAAUCAAGACAAAGUCUAACCAUAGCAUUAAACUAGUGGAUCCAAAUCAGCCCCUUAUGAAGUAACGCAUAAACUAGGGUUUAAGCUUCUGUCACUCUAGCAACCCAUCUUCUACUUACUACUUCCCAAUGCCUUCCUCUAGGCCCAAAUAAUGGUGAAGUGUUAUGUAGUCGACGUUCACAUAACACCACUACAGGAAAAUCAACAUACAACAUAUCAACAUGCCGAACGAAUACCAAAUUCACAUGACUGUUAUUAGCAUGACUUAUCCCAUGUCCUCAGGAACAAAAGUAACUACUCACAAAGCAUAAUCAUAAUCAUGAUCAGAGGUGUAAUGAGUAGCAUCAAGGAUCUGAAGAUAAACUCUUCCACCAAGUAAUCCAACUAGCAUCAACUACAAAGAGUAAUCAACACUACUAGCAACCUUACAAGUACCAAUCAGAGUCGUGAGACGGAGAUUGGUUACAAGUGAUGAACUUGGGUUUGGAGAUGAGAUGGUGCUGAUGAAGAUGUUGAUGGUGACGAGUCCCCUCCGGUGAGAGGAGUGUUGGUGAUGACGAUAGCGACGAUUUCCCCCUCCGGGAGGGAAGUUUCCACGACAGGAUCGUCCUGCCGGAGCUCUAGAUUGGUUCUGGUCAAGUUCAGCCUCGUGGCGGCGGCGAAACCACAAAAAAGCUCCCUUCUGAUUUUUUUCCUGGACGAAACCCUCCAUAUAGCAAAAGAGGGGGGCAAGUGGUCCAGCAGGGUGCCCACAAGCCCCCAUGGCGCGUCCUGGGGGGUGGCCGCGCCGUGCAGGCUUGUGGCCACCCCGUGGCGCCCCUCUGGCACUUCUUCGGCCCUGUAUUUUUUAUAAAUUGGGAAAAAAAAUCUUCGUUGAUUUUCACGGCGAUUGGAGUUGCGCAGAAUAUGUAUCUCAACUUUUCUCCACUUUCAGGCCAGAAUUCCAGUUGCCGGUAUUCUCUCUCUUCAUGUAAACCUUGCAAAAUAAGAGAGAAAAGGCAUAAGAAUAGUACGGUGAAGUGAAAUAACAGCCAAAGAAGCGAUACAUAUCAACGUGAAAACAUGAUACAAAAUGGACGUAUCAGUGGGUCCCGCCUCCGGCGCUCUCCUUUGGCCUAUAUGUCCCUCGUGACCUAAAAGUUACGGGGAGCAUAGAGUUUUCGUGAUUGCGCCGCCGCUCCGUGGCGGAAACCUACAAAGAAGAAAAGACCUUUCUGGCGGGCAGUUUCCACCGGGGAGAACUCCUCCCGGAAGGGGAGAUCGUCGCCAUCAUCAUCACCAUCGUCACGCGCGUCAUCGAGAUCAUCAUCACCAUCACCAGCACCAUCUCCAUCUUCACCUAUCUCACCUUACCAUUUCAAUCGAAGUUGUACCUUGCACUAUUCAUCCCCCCUACUCUACCGGUGUUGAUUACACUUUUGUGGUGAAUGCUAUUGAGUUUUGUUGGAGAAUUAUUGCUAUGACCAGAUUGUUUAUCAUAUUCAUAUCACCUCUGAUCAUGAUCUCUUUUAUGUCUUGUGAGUAGUUCCUUUAGUUCUUGAGGACAUGGGAAAAGUCUAGAUGUUAGUAGUCAUAUGAUGUUGAAGUAAUAUGUGUUGAUUGAUAUUUAAGUUAUGGUGUUAUUCUUCUAGUGUUGUUAUAUGAACGUCGACUACAUAACACUUCGCCUUUUUAAGGACCUAGGGGAAUGCAUCGUGUAUAAAGAAUGCUUAUGGUGGGUACCCGAGUUCGCAUACUUUUGCAUGAGGGAGUAUUGGAUCCUAAAGCUUAUUGCUAUGGUUAGGCUUUGCCUUAAUUUCUCUCUUGUAUUUGUGGACGCUUGCAAGAGGGAUUAAACAUAAGAGUGUAUUGUCUUAGCCUAGACGGUGCACUAGUUAAGAUCCACCCACAUAACACUUAUCAAUACAAAACAUGCUACUAUAGAGAAUAUGGCGAAAGCACUUGACUAUCUCUCCCCUAUGUUCUCAGAAACGUCUUAGUCUUUAUAAGUUCAUUCCACCGGCUUAUCCUUCGUGUUGAAAAGGAUUGCGCCACUUGCUGCACCUCAGCAUCAUUUACUUUUAUUGCAUUUAUUUCCGCUUUCUUAUAUCAGAAAACCCAUAAAAAGUUACAUUUCAGUACUUCAAGUUAUUCCUUGCUCAAGACCACUUGUCAGUACCUUCUGCUCCUCGUUGGGUUUGACACUCUUACUUAUCGAAAAUGCUACGAUAGAUCCCCUACACUUGUGGGUCAUGAGGCGGCGGCGCGAAGUACCUUAUGAGUUCGUCCGGGGCGCCAUGAAAAGGUCGCGCGCAAGGUCGGUGCUUCGCCAGCAGCGAAACCGGAGGUCAACCCCGCGCAAAGGGUUUGCCGCGGCGACAUAUUGGUCGCGGGCGUAGGGAGGGGUUGGGAGAUGUCGGCGCGGACGCCCAUCACAGAAAUUUCACCGGCGAAGACGGGAGCGACCGGAGCUAUCAGGUGGCGGUUGGUGGUUCGCAUGCGAGAUUCGCUUGUCCAACGCGUUAGAGCACGCACACCAAAUAGGCCGCAUGCCAUGUAGUUUUUCGUGUUUACUACGCGUGACAUUAUAAAAUGACUGCUGAAGCCCUACUUUCAACAUAUAACAGGUUUUUUAGCGCGUGGUUUAUUUAGAGUAUCUUCAACAGGAAGGCAACCGGGCGACGCGCUAAAAUAAGUUUACAACACGGAAAUAGCAAUUUUUUGCGCGCCACGGAGCGCUGAAAAAAAAUGCACGCACCAUUCCAAUAGAAGCGCUAAAAUUUAAAACGCGUGAUACAUAUUAUAUGCAAAAACAAAAUGUAAAGCGCACGGUGAGAGGGCGCGUGGCGAGGCACACAGCGGUGGGAGGGUGCGUGGAGGGGCGCUAAAUUUAUAAAGUGUGUCGAACACCCCGCGCCAAAGCUAGGGCGCGCCAGACCGUUUUUUCACGCGUACGUGAUCUUUUUCUGCCGGAAUCUUCCACGCGUCGGAAUCUCCCGCGCCCAGUGAAACGCACGAAACCGUUCCGCGAGCGUUAAACCCACAUUUGUACCGCCGCUGUUGGAGAUAAACCUGAGAAUGAUUUCAUACUUAAACCAUACUUAAACCAUACCCGUUCAUUUAUUUUCCAAAACCAUACUUGUACCAUACCCAUUUAAUGUCAUUUUCAGCCUAACCAAAACUGAACCCACUAUUUUUUCCAUCCAAACCAAUUUAAACCCAAUACAUAACCGUGGGUUUAAACCCGGGAAGGUUUGGCACCUCGAUGUCGGCUCUUCGCCACCUGGAGCUGUAGGUGGUUCCAAGGGUUGGGUUGUUCGCCCAUUAAUGCGGUACGUGAGCUGGGUUCAGAAUAUCGUGAGACAGUUCGGUCCAUAUCCGGUGUGGGCGGUUAGAGCAUUGAGAGGACUUUUCCCUAGUACGAGAGGACCGGGAAGGACACACCUCUGGUGUACCAGUUAUCGUGCCUACGGUAAACGCUGGGUAGCCAAGUGCGGAGAGGAUAACUGCUAAAAGCAUAUAAGUAGUAAGCCGUACAUAACUAUGAGUUUGCUUUAAUGUAUAUAUAAUUUCAUAAAUUGACAUGUUAAGAACUAAAUGAGAUAGAAAAGGCAUAAGUGCAUCUACAACAGUUUGGGAACAAAGUUAUUCUUGAGAUACGAUCAACACACAACAAGAGGCAAAAAGAAAAUGCCCACAACUGAAAAGCUCACUAAGAGGUGUAUUAAAACCAAAUUGCUUAGCUAAAGUACAAGCAAACACUUUUGAUUUUCAAGCCUAAAGGAGGUGCAGCGAACUGACCUGACCAGAUCGCACCUGACCCUCCCACGUCGCUUCCGUUGGCGACGGGGAGGGCUCCCCAUCCGCCACCUCCAGCAGCCUCCUCUCCCUCUCUCCUUCCUCGCCGCCGCCUAAGGACGCGGCGGGGCAAAGCCUGGCCCGCGUCGCCGAUCCGGUCGGUGUAGGCCGCGGCGGGGAUUUCCCUUCUCCUCGUUAGAUUGGCUGGGCGUGGCGUGCCAGUCGGCUGGACGUGGCUAGAAGAUGAAGGUGGGGCUGGGCGUGGCCGGUGGUGGUGGCAGCGGCGGCGUUCAGCCCGGAUCCGGUCUUGGCGGUGGCGACGGCUAACCCGGAUCCGACCAUGAUGGUGGCGGCGUCCCCUCCGCCGGGGAUGACAGGCCAGGUGGUGGGUCUUUGUGGCGCCACCGGUGACAGCGGAUCUUGGGAUCCCGUGACCGGGCUCGUCGCGGGAUUCGGUACUGGCUGCGAGUCGGGGAGACAUAGUUGCCGGUGAAAACCGAGCCAACGACGGACUAUGGCGGCGUUAUGCGCCGUUACCUUGAUGAAGGCUUCAUCUUGUAACUACUGUCGAUCCACUCGUGCUGCUCCAGGAGAAACCCUAGGAUCUGGUUUUCCAGAUCGGACAAUGACGACAUUGCGGUGUCGUUCCUCUCUAGGGAGCAUCGUUUGUGGAGCAGCACUGAAACACAGAGGCAGGAGGUGGAGCGUCUUCGUCCUGCACGGAGCUUCGGUGGUGAUGUCAGGUCAUGCCUGGUCGACACGUGCUUACGUUUUGUCAUGCCUGUUCGGCAGGUGCUACGCACGACAGAUCUUACAGAGUCUUCGUGUUUGGAUGGACGAGCGCAAGGAGGUCGAUCCACUCGUGCUGCUCCAGGAAAAACCCUAGGAUCUGGUUUUCCAGAUCAGAUGAUGGCGGCAUCACGGUGUCGCUCCUCUUUAGGAAGCAUCGUUUGUGGAGCGACGGCGAGGCGAGCAAAGAUGAGAAAGAGCGGCAGCGAGAGCGAUGAGAGGACGUUUGGCGAGGCACAGAGCGGUGGAAAGGCGCGUAAAGGGGCGUUAAAUUUAUAAAACGCGUAGAACGCCACGCGCCAAAGCUAGCGCGCCGGACCGCGUCCAAUGAAACGCACCAAACCGCUCCGCCAGCGUUAAAUUCACAUUUCCCCGCGUCUUUUACCGCCACUGUUGGAGAUGAUCUUAGCGCCUGAGAUGCUCCCUGCUGUGUCCAGAACAGAACAAGAAGGGCACGAGUCCAAUCACUCGCAGAAAAAAGACUCGANNNNNNNNNNNNNNNNNNNNNNNNNNNNNNNNNNNNNNNNNNNNNNNNNNNNNNNNNNNNNNNNNNNNNNNNNNNNNNNNNNNNNNNNNNNNNNNNNNNNCCUCUUUCAGAAAUUUUAUGUCCUAAGAUGAUGCUUCAUUAACCNUAAAGUGGCACUUCUCCCAAUUCAAGACAAGAUUGGUGUCUUUACAUCUCUGUAAGACUCGAUCAAGGUUUCUUAGGCAAUCAUCAAAGGAAGACCCAUAAACGGAGAAGUCAUCCAUGAAAACCUCAAGAAUCUUUUCACAAAAGUCAGAGAAUAUAGCCAUCAUACAUCUUUCAAAGGUGGCAGGUGCAUUACAUAGGCCGAAAGGCAUACGUCUAUAAGCAAAGGUACCAAAAGGGCAGGUGAAAGUGGUUUUCUCCUGAUCAGGUUGUGCAACUGGUAUUUGGGAGAAACCAGAAUAACCGUCUAGAAAGUAGAAGUGUGUGUGUUUGGACAGCCUUUCUAGCAUUUGGUCGAUAAAAGGCAAAGKSYWAUGAKCAKYMCGGUGCUUUCUCUAAAGUUUUAGUAACUUCUUUUCUUCAUGCUAUGAGAGGCUAGCACUAAUUAUGACAGGAUAUAUCUUCUUUUCAUCAAGNNNNNNNNNNNNNNNNNNNNNNNNNNNNNNNNNNNNNNNNNNNNNNNNNNNNNNNNNNNNNNNNNNNNNNNNNNNNNNNNNNNNNNNNNNNNNNNNNNNNCCAAUCUCCGUCUCGCGACUCCGAUUGGUACUUGUAAGGUUGCUAGUAGUGUUUGAUUACNCUUUUGUAGUUGAUGCUAGUUUGGAUUAWUUUGGUGGAAGAGUUUAUGUUCAGAUCCUUGAUGCUACUCAUUACAUCUCUCGUCAUGGAUAUGAUUAUUCUUUGUGAGUAGUUACUUUUGUUCCGGAGGACAUGGGAUAAGUCAUGCUAAUAGUAGUCAUGUCAAUUUGGUAUUCGUUCGAUAUUUUGAUGUGUUGUAUGUUAUUUUUCCUCUAGUGGUGUUAUGAGAAUGUCGACUACAUAACACUUCACCAUUAUUUGGGCCUAGAGGAAGGCAUUGGGAAGUAGUAAGUAGAUGAUGGGUUGCUAGAGUGACAGAAGCUUAAACCCUAGUUUAUGCGUUGCUUCAUAAGGAGCUGAUUUGGAUCCACUAGUUUAAUGCUAUGGUUAGACUUUGUCUUAAUUCUUCUUUCGUAGUUGCAGAUGCUUGCGAGAGGGGUUAAUCAUAAGUGGGAUGCUUGUCCAAGUAANNNNNNNNNNNNNNNNNNNNNNNNNNNNNNNNNNNNNNNNNNNNNNNNNNNNNNNNNNNNNNNNNNNNNNNNNNNNNNNNNNNNNNNNNNNNNNNNNNNNGGUCUAAGAGAGGACAAGACAGAAGAAUCAGAAGACAUAUGAAAUGAAGCUCCAGAAUCCAAAACCCAUGGGGAUGUACCUGACUGUGUAGACGGUGGUUGCUCAGCACUAGAAGCACGAGUCAUAGAGCCUACAGUACCCGCUGAAGAACCUGAAGCGGCAAGUAGAUGCUUAAGCUUCACAAUAUCCUGCUCACUCAAGGAGAGUAGACAUCGUCGAGGAAGAAGCUCGAGUCCCAGAAGAAGAAUUGCGCUCCCUAUUACGCAUAUCAUGCUUCUUGAAACAAUCAGACUCGUGGUGACCAUCCCUAUUGCAGUAGCUGCAAUGAGUAUGAGGAUGAGAGCGGUCGUCACAAGAGCGGUCGUCACAAGAGCGAGCCUCACUAGCAGAAGGAGUGGGCAAUAGCGGUGGAGCCCUGUUGGGAGAAAACACUGAUGGAGCAGCUGCUCGGGUAGCAAGCACAGAAGGAGCCUGAAUUAAACCAGCUCCACCGAGGCGAGUCUCCUCAGCACGUAGCUCAGAAAGCACCUCCGAAAUAGGCACACGACCACGAGCAAACAACUGAGCAUGUCGAGGCUCAAACUCUCCACAGAGGCGAGACAAAGACUCGUAGACGCGAUGAAACUCCAGGUCUGACCUGACAGUCUGACAACACGGGCAAGUAACACAAACAGGAGAGCAAAGAGAGUCAAGUUGAUGCCAGAUAGCAGAACUCGAGUGUAGAACUCAUCAAUAGUAGAGUCUCUCUGCUGAAGAGCAUGCUCCUGACGGACCACAGAUAGGUAGAGAGCNNNNNNNNNNCGAAAAUGAGUUCACAUCUCAAAGGCAGUAUUGAACCCCAUAAACUCAGAAGCAAACUGAGGCAGCACACUGGAAGUGAGGACAGCCGCAGCACGGGCAUAAUCAUCACACCACUGAGUGUUGGCAGUCAGAUUAUCUCGAUAAUCGGAAAGAGCAUUCGUAUCCUAAUUUUUGGCCUAAUUCUUCUUCUGAUGAUCGAUUCAACCUCUGAUAAAAAAGAUAGACCUUGGUUCUAUUUCAUCUCUUCAUCAAGUUUAGUAAUAAGCAUAAUGGCCCUAUUGUUCCGAUGGAGAGAAGAAUCUAUAAUUAGCUUUUCGGGAAAUAUCCAAACGAACAAUUUCAACGAAAUCUUUCAAUUUCUCAUUUUAUUAUGUUCAACUUUAUGUAUUCCUCUAUCCGUAGAGUACAUUGAAUGUACAAAAAUGGCUAUAACAGAGUUUCUGUUAUUCGUAUUGACAACUACUCUAGGGGGAAUGUUUUUAUGUGGUGCUAACGAUUUAAUAACUAGAGUAAUCCAAAACCUGUUGAUUAUAAGCAGCCUCUGCAUCAUCAUCAACAAUCCUGUCUGCUUCCGUAUCAGCCUCAGAAGCACCCGUGGGAAGAACCUGUGGCGUCGGUGGGAUAGGAGUCACAGGAGGAACUGGGCGCGGCGGACACGGGACCUCGCCAAAGAACGCCCCAAAGACGAAUACCACGCAUGUGAAUGCGCAUAAUGAAAGCAAACUCAGCAUAGUUAGCCCCAUCAAAAAUCACCGAGCAGCGAGGGACAACGAUGUAGGCCGACGACGAAGACAUCACACCCCACUUGUUUUUUCAUUUUUUUUUGAGGAAUAUAAUCUGGAUCUAGAUCACGAAUCGGACUGGAACUAAUAGUAGUUCCACGCCACACAGACACACACGUGUUCACCCGCGGAAGUCAGCAACACCGGAUGGGCGGUCGGUGGCGACAGGCGGAUGGCACCGGUGGACGGCGGCGAACGCGGCCGGUGGACGACGCUGGCGGCGACAGGACGAGCGGUCGGCGGUGACAGCCGGGCGACGGUUGGCGGGGAGCGGCAGGGACUCCGGCGCGACCACGAGGCUGGAUCUGGUCGACGCAGGACCACGAGCAAGCGUCGGGACUCAAUCCAGGAGGAACGUGGUGCUUCACUUGUGCGUCGACGGCAGGGGCGCCGAGGCGUGAGCGAGAAAGAGCGGUUCGUUGCUCAGACCAGGUUGGUCGCAGACCUUGAUGGCGCCAGGCGUCCUCGAUCUGAAGGCCGCCGACGGCGGGAACCAGUGAUUGAAGAUGGUCCUGCGGCGAAUGACAGAGGCGGCCAGCGACGGGAAGCAAGUCGAGUAUCGGCUCGAUCCAGAGGGGUGGGUGGGAGCAGCGGCAACAAAUGAACUGUACGCGGGGGCGGGGUAGCAGCAGCGGUAUGGAGCAGCACAGCCGAUUGUCUGGGCGUGUUGCGGCACCCACAAAAAGAUCCCUAACCUAGGCUCAUGAUACCAUGUUGAUGUUAGAGGANNNNNNNNNNNNNNNNNNNNNNNNNNNNNNNNNNNNNNNNNNNNNNNNNNNNNNNNNNNNNNNNNNNNNNNNNNNNNNNNNNNNNNNNNNNNNNNNNNNNACCACCUAACAUUCCUGCAUAUCAUGUCUUCAGUACUUUUUAACGAACAAAACAUACACAAAAAAUACCAAAUUAGCUUAAUAUUUUAAAAGAAAAUGUUCUCUGGUUGAUACGCUUUUGUAUUGAUCUACGUCAGGUCCAUAGUUAUGAUGUUCUGCAAGAUUUAAAUGUUUNNNNNNNNNNNNNNNNNNNNNNNNNNNNNNNNNNNNNNNNNNNNNNNNNNNNNNNNNNNNNNNNNNNNNNNNNNNNNNNNNNNNNNNNNNNNNNNNNNNNNNNNNNNNNNNNNNNNNNNNNNNNNNNNNNNNNNNNNNNNNNNNNNNNNNNNNNNNNNNNNNNNNGUAUGUUACUUAGUUGGAGUCUGGUCAAAAGUACUAAAUGCUUACCUGAGUGCACGCAUGGGUUGAAGGCCUGAUUGCUUCGUAGGUUGGUGACCUACAACAGAACUUUAGAGCUUUAGCUUUUUUUAUAUGAGUCUCUCUUAGACUGAACAUAUAGUAGUAUUUAUCCCAAAAAAUGUAUAGCAGUAUUUAAACAUUAUUAGUCCUAUUCUGUAGACACACUUAAACCACAUUACAGUGAUUGGUUGAGACAUCAAAGAGCAGGCAAACUGCUUUCUGUUUGUCAGGUGAGAAGACACAACCAAAUAAUUUUGAACUUAUUGUGCAUGUCAUGAAGUUAAUGUAUUUCUAUGGAUAAUGUACAGUUUAACUAGUUAUGCAUCAGAACAUCCCGAUCUCUUCUUAGAAAACAUCCUGAUAUAAAAUAUGCGGAUGUGUAAGAUGAGGGUUCCUUUAUAGAUAAAGGUAACUUAGAUUGGCNNNNNNNNNNNNNNNNNNNNNNNNNNNNNNNNNNNNNNNNNNNNNNNNNNNNNNNNNNNNNNNNNNNNNNNNNNNNNNNNNNNNNNNNNNNNNNNNNNNNCUCUCACCAACAGGACCAUUAGUUGCGAAUCCAAAAUCAGUGAGCUUCGCAGUAUAGUCCUGCACAGUAGUAUGAUGCAUUCCUUUCAGUGGACAUCACAUGAUCAUAAAGGUGAAGUGCGAUGUAUUGACGAUCCACUUACGCUGUCAAGGAGAAUAUUGGAACUCUUAACAUCUCUAACAAUAAUNNNNNNNNNNCCUAUAUGCAUAGUGUCUGAAGUUGUAUUUCGAAGAUUACCUGUUGUAAUAUAUUCCGGAGCAGCAUAACCAUAUGUUCCCACAACCAUUGUGGAUACAUGACUCUUCUCACCAACGGGACCAUCAGUUGCGAAUCCAAAAUCACUGAGCUUCGCAGUAUAGUCCUGCACAGUAGUAUGAUGCAUUCCUUUCANNNNNNNNNNCUUUGCUUCUGUACUGUGAAGGUAAGCUAUUGCUUUCGCAGCUCCAAGUGCAACUUUCGUUCUCAGGUUCCAUGCAAGAGGUUGACAUGAGCCUCCUAUAUCAAAGAUUUAUAUAGCAAUUUAUAAAUAUAACACACUAUGGCGUUACACUAUGCAGUACGAAUAACAGUGGACAACAGUGGAGCACAAAGUCCUAAUUUANNNNNNNNNNNNNNNNNNNNNNNNNNNNNNNNNNNNNNNNNNNNNNNNNNNNNNNNNNNNNNNNNNNNNNNNNNNNNNNNNNNNNNNNNNNNNNNNNNNNCCACAAAAUAGAAUGACAGUUAUACUCACCAACCACUCUCGAUGCCCUUGUACCCCCUCGUGGUUUAAUCUUUUCACUGCAACAGGUAUACUAGUGCAAGAUUUGCCAGAUGACAAUGUGUUCUCAUCGAUCCAUCCUUUAUAUACAGUUCCAAACCCUCCUUCACCAAUCACACAGUCAACAUGGAAUUUCCUUGUGGCUGACCUGAGAUUAUCAUAACUGAACAUCUUAACACUGGCUGAUGGCAAGAUCUGGCAUUUAAUACUCCCAUCUUUACCACCACCUAACAUUCCUGCAUAUCAUGUCUUCAGUACUUUUUAACGAACAAAACAUACACAAAAAAUACCAAAUUAGCUUAAUACUUUAAAAUAAGAUGUUCUCUGGUGGAUACACUUUUGUAUUAAUCUACGUCAGGUCCAUAGUUAUGAUGUUCUGCAAGAUUUAAAUGUUUGGUUCUAUUCUUUAGGGAAACUGCACAGAAACUAGGAACAGACUCAAGCAAGCUUGGUCACUUACCAUCAUCUAAAAAUGGUAUGAGCGGAGAGAAGCAUAGUUGCCUGGAAAGGUCCAGGAGGGAGUCCANNNNNNNNNNCCAACAUGAAACUUCCUUGUGGCUGACCUGAGAUUAUCAUAACUGAACACCUUAACACUGGCUAAUGGCAAGAUCUGGCAUUUAAUACUCCCAUCUUUACGACCACCUAACAUUCCUGCAUAUCAUGUCUUCAGUACUUUUUAACGAACNNNNNNNNNNAUAUGUUACUUAGUUGGAGUCUGGUCAAAAGUACUAAAUGCUUACCUGAAUGCACGCAUGGGUUGAAGGCCUGAUUGCUACGUAGGUUGGUGACCUACAACAGAACUUUAGAGCUUCAGCUUUUGUUUAUAUGAGUCUCUCUUAGACUGAACAUAUAGUAUUAUUUACCCCAAAAAAUGUAUAGCAGUAUUUAAACAUUAUUAGUCCUAUUCUGUAGACACACUUAAACCACAUUACAGUGAUUGGUUGAAACAUCAAAGAGCAGGCAAACUACUUUCAGUUUGUCAGGUGAGAAGACACAACCAAAUAAUUUUGAACUUAUUGUACAUGUCAUGAAGUUAAUGUAUUUUUAUGGUUAAUGUACAGUUUAACUAGUUAUGCAUCAGAAUAUCCCGAUCUAUUCUUAGAAAACAUCCUGAUAUAAAAUAUGCGAAUGUGUAAGAUGAGGGUUCCUUUAUAGAUAAAGGUAACUUAGAUUGGCAGGGUGUAGUAAGAAGUGUGCUUUUUACAAACAUGAGGGAUUUGUCCAAUAUUUGUUCUUUGACUAUUAGUUCACGCAUUUUGCGUUGCGUGUGGUCAGAUCUGGCAUCUCCAUCAGAGAGCACUACUCAUAUUUUUGGUAAUUAGCUCAUACGGGACCUAAAAGAUUUAGGGAAAACUUAUUAAUUGGAGCGGACGAGUGGCCACAUGUUGGGCAGUCAAGGUGUGGAGCCUCGCUGCGAACCUGGGUGCGACUACUGCGGCAAGAGGGCAGGGGAAUGGCCCUCUCAGCGCAUACAANNNNNNNNNNCGGCAUUCUCCAUCAGAGAGCACUACUCAUAUUUUUGCAAUUAGCUCAUACCGGACCUAAAAGAUUUAGGGAAAACUUAUUAAUUGGAGCAGACGAGUGGCCACAUGUUGGGCAGUCAAGGUGUGGAGCCGCUCUGCGAACCUGGGUGUGACUACUGCGGCAAGAGGGCAGGGGAAUGGCCCUCUCAGCGCAUACAAGGUUGGACAUAGCGAUACGACUGCUUUUCAUGAGCUAUGGUUGGCAGUUUAGUUUGUUAGAGUUAUCUUCGUGAUGCCUUUUGGCUUUUGUAUUCUAGUCUCUUGGCAUCCUCUUGUAGCCUUUUGGCA
rnacentral:lncRNA from 1 species